rnacentral:lncRNA from 1 species
UAUCAUGUACUCACAUUUCCUAUUUGUAGCAGGUUUCUCAUCUACUCCCUCCGUUCCUAAAUGUAAGUCUUUUUAGAGAUUUCACUACAAACUACAUACGGAUGUAUAUGGACAGAUUUUAGAGUGUAGAUUCACUCAUUUUGAUCCGUAUCUAGUCCAUAGUGAAAUCUUUUAAAAAGACUUAUACUUAGGAACGGAGGGAGUAUAUAAUAAAAAGAAAAACAGAGACGACAGAAAACAGUGGUAAAAUAGGAAUGUCGAACAAAGCAUGCUUUCUGCACAAAACUAAACCGACGCCAAAUACGAGUUUACUAGAGAUCCAAAAGGUAAUCAGGCGUGCUUGCUCGCUCACCACAAAGACCAAAAUUGGAGCACGUAGGUACAUAUCCGUCCCGUUCACAGCAACAUGCGGUACAUUAUUGCUCGACUAGUCCUAAGAGCUUCAACCAUAGUUCAUUCCACAAGUUAAGACACGCCCACUUUCACAAAAACAAGUGCAGAGUGAUCAUGUCUCGGAUGCAGGUCCCAUCUAGUAUGGCUCCACCGGUGCGCGGAACUUGAGGCCGGCAUACACAGCGGCAGCGCCCAGCUCUUCCUCGAUCCUCAGAAGCUGUUCCAAUUGGAAAAGAAAUAACCCCUUAGUGUAAAUUUGGGAAACCGAACAAAGAAAAACAAGACAUGAUUGCUCAAAUAAACACAUUACAUUGAACAAAAGAAUAUCAGAAACCACUAUCAGUCUAACGCUAAACACAGAUGAGAAAUCAUUCUUAAAUGAGCACAUUGCAUCGAACAAAAGGAUAAAAAAGAAAGAAUAAUUUCUUUUUAGUAAUUGCAAGAAGUCUUGUUGGUCUAACAGAAUAGCAGUUCAAGAAUUACAGGAAAGCCACUUGCCUGGUUGUACUUGGCAAGCCGCUCUGAGCGGCAGGGAGCCCCAGUCUUGAUCUGACCCUGUUGCACAUGAUGAAACAUUGGUCAGUUACUCCCGAUCGAUCCAGAGGAGAAGAAACAGCUGUCACAUUAAAAUUACUCAAGACAAACAAUAAAAUGAAGAUCAUGAAAUCAUACCGUGGACAAACCAACAGCCAAAUCAGCAAUGAAUGUGUCCUCAGUCUCACCACUGCACACAGCAAAUGUACAUAAGCAUACAAAUGGUAAUAACAAUAGAAACAAGGGGGAAAACGGCGGGGUAACAAGGCGGUAUCUCUUAUGUACCUCCUGUGACUGGUCAUCACACCCCAGCCAGCAUGUUUCGACAUCUUCACGGCCUCGAUACUUUCAGUGACGGAUCCAAUUUGGUUAACCUACACAUGAAAAGGAUGAAACAAUCAGAUCAUAAUCCCUCCGAUCAGGUACUUAUUAUGGAUCGGAAGGAGUACUAUGACGACCAAAGGAGAAGAAUCAAUUAACAGCUUCUGUUUACCUUCAGCAGAAGAGCAUUGCAUGACUUCUCCUUGAUUGCCUUCGCAACUCUCUGCGCAACAUAAUUAUACAACAAAUUAACUGUAGUGAUCCAACAGAAUGAAAAUGCCCACCUACACAACAGAAAACAAAUCACUCACGGUUGGGUUGGUGACUAGAAGGUCAUCACCAACAAUCUGAACUUGCUCUCCACAUUCUUCAGUCAUCUUAGCAUAGUGCACCCAGUCAUCCUGGUCAAAUGGGUCCUCAAUCGACACAAUGGGGUACUCACUCACGAAUGACUUGUAUACAUUCUUCAGGCUAUCUCCAGAUAUCUUCUGGGAACCAUCGUUGUUCUACAGCAAGGGAAAGCAAUGUUAUAAAUGCUCAUGAAAAGAGAACAAAUUGUUACCACAAAAUAAACAAUGGGGCUGCUUACCUCUUCCUUGAAGUUGAGGUCAUAUGUUUUGUCCUUGUCAUUGUAGAACUCUGAAGCAGCAACAUCCAUUCCAAUGACAACCUAGAAUUUUCCAAAGCAACAAAUCUCCUUCAAUUACAAACUUAAAGGCUCAGUGAGAAGUGCACUACAACAGAUUAAUUCAAGCAGACAAACCUUGCCGGUGUAUCCAGCCUUUUCAAUUGCAGUCUUCAAGAGCUCAAGACCCUCCUUGUUCUCCUACAACACCCGAAAACAAAAAGAACUCAGAUGACACCCCACAAGCAUUGACCUCAAUUUAUAACAACACGGUAGUUCUAUACAUCCAAACAUGACAGUCAGCAACUGUUGUCAAAACACCAAGACAUAACAAAGCAAGGAAAUCUGAUAUUAAACCUCCAAGGACAGGGAAAUACCUGAAUGUUAGGAGCAAAACCACCUUCAUCUCCAACAUUGGUGGCAUCUUGCCCGUACUUCUUCUUGAUAACAGACUGUCACAGAAAAUGAUCCUUUUAGUAAAUUUACUUUUUACUACAUGAUAGCAAAGAGAAAAAGAAGAUGAAAGAAUUACCUUCAAGUUGUGGUACACUUCAACGCCCAUCUUCAUUGCCUCCUUGAAUGAGGCAGCUCCAGUAGGAAGGAUCAUGAACUCCUGCAGAUAUGCAAGUAUAGGCAUAAAUAACAUAUGUGCGAAAACAACAUGAAAGAUGUGAAAAUCUUAGUUCAGAGCAUUGCCUGCAUAGCAAGCUUGUUUCCAGCAUGGGAUCCACCAUUGAUGACAUUGAAUGCAGGAACAGGCAAAACCAAUUGCUUGUUGCCAGCAAGGUUGGCAAUGUGCUGCAGUGAAGAAUAUAUUCAUGUUGAAAGACUUUAGGCAAUAGCAAACAAAUGUAGAAUAUUAAAAGAGGAGAUCAGCAAUGAUGCACACCUGGUACAGCGGAAUCUUCUUGAUGCUGGCUCCAGCUUUGCAAAUAGCUAGUGACACAGCCAGGAUUGCAUUAGCACCAAGCUGAAUAUACAGAAGAAAUUGAGCUGUUAGAAGGGGACCUGCAUAUGGAUAUUAGCAUUGGCACCAAGUAAAACUCGUGGUGGAUUAUGUACUACCUUCUGCUUGCACCAACCCCAUUCGUUUUUGGUUCCAUCAAGCUGCUGAACCAUAAAGUUGUCGAGCUCAGUUUGAGCUGUAGGGUCCUGUAGAAGGAAAUAGAGCACUGAAUGAAUUAUGCAUUCAACUCUCAUAUCACAAUAGAGAAGGGGACAAUGCUAACCUUGCCAAUCAAAGCUGGUGCGAUAAUCAAGUUCACAUUGUCAACAGCCUGUGAAAGAAAAAGAGAAAUACAUGUAAAUACAAAGAAAAGACUAAAUUACGCAUGCACAUGGACUAUUCACUACAAUAGAAAAAACCAGGAUAGCUAUAGUGAAACAUAAAGACUAAAUGAUCCUGAGUUGUUUAUUUCAGGGCAGUAUAAAUAAGGAAAUAAGGCGUGCACAAGAGAUAUUGCCCAUGAUGAUUCAGUUCAUAAAUACAUAAUCCUAAGCUACUACAUAUAAUAAACGGCAAUGAGAUAUAAAAAAAUGCAACAACCUACCACAUUAACAUUAAGAAAACAUAUCAUAGUUCACAUUAACAUUAAGAAAAAAUCUACAACCUGGCACAAACUAGAAAUAUCAAGUUAUACAGCACAAGGAAACAUUGUAUGGAUGAAACCAACAUCAAAAAAUAACUUGUUCUCACAAACAGGAUAACUGAAAAGCUACACUAGCACUGUUUGGUCCAUUUGGCAUAAUAAUUUGGUAAACAAGUAGGAAAAUUUCAAAAGGUGACAAACAAUAUUGCUAGUGUAACAACAGCAUAGAGUUGAGGCAAAAGAACAUAUACAGCAGCCACAUCAGAGUUAAAGAACUAUGACAUAGAGUUAAAGAAUGUGAAGAUAAAGUUCGCUCAAAUGGAUGUAAACCUUGGAAACACCCUUUCCCAAGUAGUCAGAUCCACCGUCUCUCAGUUCCAAAGCUUCAUAAACACCUACAGAAGAGGGAAGAUUCAGACAAGAUUAGUAAAACAAAAACAAUACAAUAACAUUCCGUAAAUAAUGAUCCAAAUAAGAGUUUGUGCCUUCACUAGUCAGGAACUCAGGAAACCAAAGCAGAAACUUAAGGUUGAAAAGGAGAGAGUGAUGAUAAUAACAAAAUAACUCACCAGUUGAUGCACCGCUGGGAACAGCGGCCCUGGCGAAGGUUCCAUCUGAGCAGCACACAUCAACCUGAUGCACAAAACCAUGAGAUUAGCCAAAAUAGUUUACACUUUAGCAUUAUGCGUAGUUUAAACAAUAAAAUCCGAACAAUGUCGCAUUUCAAACAAAGCAUCAUGUUUCACCACAGCUGUAACUAGGACACAAACCAUAUACUAGCUACAUUUAGCUAUAUAUAAACGCAAAGCAGAACGACCAGCCAUCUGUGGAUACACACUGUGAAAACCUAAAACGGAUUCCUAGCAGGCAAAAUAAAAAAAAAUGUAUGCAGCCCAGCAUCUGACUGAACAAACCACCUUGCAUCAAAUCUACCAUAUCCUCCAGAAAAUAAAAGGCUGAUACACCCAAAACCCCUUCGACAACUCAUCAAUUUACAUUUUCGGCACAUUACUUUCCACACCAAGUACGGCCAUUAUGCACAGAUCAAACGAUGAACACUCGGCAACAACCAGGACACGAAACCAUAGUGGCCACAUAAACACCGGGCCGAUCUGCGAAUCCCUGAGACGCAUGACGACGUGCAGGCAAAAUAAACUAGCACGCGCCACCGCGGCCGGCCAAACAAACCACCUCGCAUCGAAUCUAGCACAUCCACAACCCAGGGAGUCUGGCCGAGGGGCAGCACUAAUCUGCAUCCUACCGGCCCGCCCGCCCAAAAACCCUCGAAUCUAGCGCGUCAGAAACCUACGGCCCGCGCCCCAGCAGCCCCGACCCACGGCCGAAUCACAAGAUCGAAACCAAGCCGCUGCUGCGUACGCCCGCCGCCCUACCAGAUCGAGUCGGACCGGACCACAACGCACAGAUCGGGGAGACGGACGGGAUGCGCGCGUACCUCGACGGUGGGGUUGCCGCGGCUGUCGAAGAUCUGGCGGGCCUUCACGGACUGGAUCGUCGCCGCCAUGGCCGGGGCUGUAGCUUGGAGAGGAAGAAGCCGAAAUAGAUCGAAACGAAUGGAGCGGAGGGCGGAGAAGGCGAGGAGAGGGGGCUUUAGGCAGGGCCGCCCGUUCUUUUUUAUAGUCGCGAGAUGAAAGGGAAGCGUCCCCCCGUUUUUAGCCGUGCCGCUGCUUGUGGGGACGAGGAAACUGGUGUGGGCGGCCGCACACGGGAUGGAUCGUCGAUGUGUAAUGAAUGCAUCGUAUCUACCGUUGUGUACUCCUCCCAAGCCCGUAUCGAAAACAAUACUUGUUCAAGGGGGCAAAAGAUUUCUCAUUAAUUAGAGCAUCUACAGCGGGACUCGGCAAAUCCGGCCCUUCAAAUGCCCGCGUCCGCGAGCAGUGAUCGGACACGUCUCAAAUUUCAACAUUUGCAUCCGGACAUCGCAUAUUAGAUUCUCAAAUCCAUUACAAACUAAAAUAAACCUAAGUACUGCGUCGAUCAACUAGCUACUCGUCGGAGGAGAUGUCGACGAUCUCCGUGCCGGGCUCGGGCGGCAGCGGCAGCUCCGCCUCCUUCGGCUGCUCCGCUCCGGCCUCCCCAGCCUCUAUCUCCGCAUCGAGUUCGGCGAAGAGCGCUUCGGACUCCGCAUGCUCCUGCUGGAGGAUAGUGCGGUUGGCCUCCACACAGGCCUCAUCCUGGAUGGACUCCAGGAUGGCUUGCUGCUCCGCCAUCUCGACAGACUGGGCGACGGCAAACUCUGCCUCCGCCUGCUCCAUAUUGAAGCCCGACAGCAGCUGCUCCGCCUCCUCCACCUUCAUCGGAGCCAACUCCUCCUCCCUCGGCUCCGACGAGUCCGGAGGCAGCCCGACAGCGAUGCCGGUUGCGCGCGCGGCUUUUCUCGUCCGGAUCUCCUGCUGGAUCUCGACGCGACGCUCCGACGUGAGCACUGCGUAGUAGGUUAUCUUACUCCGGACCAUGGCAGACCACUGGAGCAUGGGCAGAGCGCCAGAGCAGGAGAGGGAGGAGGUGGAUGGGCUUGGACUGGCGGCGCGGAGAGGGGAAGGUGGAUGGACUAGGGUUGCGGAGCUCCGGCCGAGUUAAAUAGGCGGAUUUUCUCUCGGCGGCGAGUCGAAGCGGCGCCACGCGGCGUUAACACUGCGGCGACGAAGGAGAUGUCUAUCAGACCGCCGAGUUUCCGGAUGAGUCCACGUGGGACCCCUUCGUCAGUCCUACAUGGCUGGUGUGCCCGGGCACUGAUGCGUCACCAACGUAUCUAUAAUUUAUGAAGUACUCAUGUCAUGUUACAACAAUUUUAUAUGGUUUUGGUAUGAUUUGAAUGGAACUAAUCCGGACUGACAAUGUUUUCAGCAGAACUACCAUUGUGUUGUUUUUUGUGCAGAAAUAAAGUUUCUCAGAAUGGAGUGAAACUAUUUGACAAUUUUUUUAACAGAAGAGCCACGACGUGCCCACGAGGCACUUGGGCGUGCCCAGGGGUGAUGGUGCCGUGGUGCCUUGAUAUGUCUCCAACGUAUCUAUAAUUUAUGAAGUAUUUAUGCCAUGUUUACAACAAUUUUAUAUGGUUUUGGUAUGAUUUGCAUGGAACUAACCCAGACUGGCACUGUUUUCAACACAACUACCAUGGUGUUGUUUUUUGUGCAGAAAUAAAAGUUCUCGGAAUUGGAUGAAAUUUUUUGAUGAUUUUUUUGGAAUAAAUAAAAAUACUGGAGCAAAGAACCACAGGAAGGGGGGCUGCUGCCCACAAGGCACGAGGGCACGCCACCCCCCAUUUGGCGCGCCCAAGAGUGUAGUGGGCCCCCUCAGGCCCAUCUUCGCGUGAAAUCGAUGCCAAAAAAUCCUAUAAAUGCAUAAACCCCCAAAAAUAACUCUAGAUGAGAAGUUUGGCUGCCGCAAACCCCUGUAGCCACGAAAAGCCAAUCGGGAGCCCGUUCGGGCACCCUGUCGGAGGGGGAAAUCAUCAUCGGAGGCCAUCUUCAUCAUCCCUAUGGUCUCCAUGAUGAGGAGGGAGUAGUCCACCCACGUGGUUGAGGGUUUGUACCAAUAGCUAUGUGUUUACUCUCUCUCUCUCUCUCGUGUUCUUGAUUUGGCACGAUCUUGAUGUAUCACGAGCUUUGUUAAUAUGGUUGGAUCAUAUGGUGUUUCUCCCUCUCUAUCUUGUUGUGAUGAAUUGAGUUUUCCCUUUGAGAUUUCGUUAUUAUUGGAUCGAAUACUUUUAUGGAUUUGAGAGCACUUGAUAUAUGUAUUGAGAUCUCAAAUUCAUCGGAUCUCGACAAACACACCGCAAAAAGAGUUACAUCAAAUAGAUCUCCAAGAAGAUCGAGAAGAACUUUGUAUUGAGAUUCAAAGAGAGAGAGAAGAAGCCAUCUAGCUAAUAACUAUGGACCCGAAGGUCUGUGGUAAAAUACUCACAACUCAUCGGAGAGGCCUUGGCGAUGAUGUAGAAGCCCUCCGUGAUCGAUUCCCCCUCCGGCGGAGCGCCGAAAAAGGCUCCAAGACGGGAUCUCACGGGUACAGAAGGUUGCGGUGGUGGAAAUAGUUUCUCGUGGUGCUCCUGGAUGUUCUCGGGGUAUGUAGAUAUAUAUAGGCGAAGGAUGUAGGUCAGGGGAGCCACGGGAGGGGGGGCACGAGGCAGGGGGUGCCCCCCUCCCCUAGGGCGCGCCCUACACCCUCGUGUCCGCCUCGGCUGCUUCUUGAUGUCCACUCCAAGUCACCUGGAUUGCGUUUGUUCCAAAAAGAUUGCUUCCGAAGGUUUCAUUCCGUUUGGACUUCGUUUGAUAUUCAUUUUCUGUGAAACAUUGAAAUAGGCAAAAAAAUCAGCAAUUCGGGCUGGGCCUCCGGUUAGUAGGUUAGUCCCAAAAAUGAUAUAAAAGUGUAAAGUAAAGCCCAUAAACAUCUAAAACGGGUAAUAUCCAAAACGGGUAAUAUAAUAGCAUGGAACAAUCAAAAACUAUAGAUACGUAUCAAUCUUCGAGAAGCUCGUCGGCGAGGCCGCCAAGCUCGCCCGCUACAACACGAAGCCCACCAUCACCUCCCGGGAGAUCUAGACCUCCGUCCGCCUCGUCCUCCCCGGCGAGCUCACCAAGCACGCCGUCUCCGAGGGCACCAAGGCCGUCACCAAGUUCACAUCCUCUUAGAUUGUACAUCUAGUAGCAAUUGUAGAUGGUUCUAUUACUUAGUGCUUGUCGACUGUGGCCAGAGGCGGAAUUGGGCCUAGGGCAACUAGGGCUAUAGCCCCAGGCGCGGCCGAACUAGUAGUUAUACGUCCAAAUAAUUUUCUUCCAUUUUUGUACCCCUAAAAGGCCCAGCCCCAGCCAUGUAAACGCAGCCCAGGCAUCAGCCCAGACAAUAGCCCAACUAAGUAUACCUACUUUCCAUCGCAACCAGUUCGCAAUUAGCCCACGAUGCCAUGAUCGCGCGCUCAACCACACCGUAUCUCCUUCUCGCUCGUCUGAUCAGGAAAUAGAUCUGGCUCAAGCAAUCACACUGCGCCGCCAAUUCCCUUCGAGGCCACGAUUGCUCGACUAGAGGGACGAACGUCUAGACCUACGCCCAGUCGGCUGGCGCUCGGAGCCUCGGAUCGGAUCAUCUCUCGCCUCAUCCGAGCUGCCCCCUCUAGCGCUCUGUUCUGCUCCAUCUACACAACCGACUGGAUAUCUAUCCGAUUAGGCUUGUGAUCUCUUGUACCAUGUACUCUUUUUUCCCUAGUUCAUUUUUUAUCAACCGAAAUCAAGGAUUUGGUGAUGCUAAAUUUCAUUUCAUUGUUAUUUGUUAACAGCAAAAAAUUACCAAUCCAAGAUGAUGAAGACCUGGACAAUUAAAUCCUUUUUCAAGCAACAUCCAAAUAGGCUGCAUCAAACAAUACACAUCAACGAAUGACCUUCGGAACGAGUAGGACUCGAAAAAAUACACGAGGAAAUGCAAUGGUCUACUACCUUGUGCACUUGGCCAUAAUAUUUUGUAUUUGUAAUUCAUAUGAACAAUUGACUUAGUACAUGUCCAUUAUCUUGAUUUUAAUUACUCUAUUUUAUGUUUACAGUUCCCGGUCCUUCUAUUAUUGCUGGUGAAGAAUGAUGUCCUCGAAUAAAGCAAGUCUUCACUAAUAUGAUAUCGGGGUUUCUUCUCACAGUAAAAAUGAACUUAUAUUUCACUUUUUGUUAACUAUUUCUUUUGUCGGAUUUCUUCUCUCAGUAAAACUGAACUUAUAUUUCAUUGGUAAUGUGACUUUGUGGUGUACUUUAACAUGCAUCUGUACAUGGUAUUUAAUGUUAUUUGUAGUCCCGCCACAAUUGUUUUUAUUUGUAGUCACUUAAUUUUAGCCCUAGGCUUUGAGAAAUCCUGGCUCCGCCUCUGACUGUGGCUAUCUGGAAGUAGAAGUGGUGUUAGUGUUGGCUGGAUGGGAAUUGUUGAAUGAUUGUCGAUACUCUGUUGGUUCUUUGGUUGCAACUAAACCCAGGCAAACGUCGGGCCGGGUCGGGUUCGGGCCGGGCUUGACAAAGCCCGAAGAGAAAUUCCCAAGCCCGAGCCCGGCCCGGCCCGGCCCGAAGUACAUGAACAGUGACACUUCUUUAUUAAAUUAAUCAUUUUCCGGAUAUUAUAUUAAUUUAUUAUACCUAUAUUUCAAAUAAAAUAUGUUUUUUAUAUAUUUCGGGCUUUAUUCGGGCCGGGCUUCGGGUCAGAAAAUGGAGCCCGAGCCCGGCCCGAAUGUCGGGCUUCGGGUUCGGGCCGACGGGCCGGGUUGUCCAUGACCGGGUAUAGUUGCAACAACUGAAUUUGUGCUUAAAAUCUUUCGGUUAACUGACAUAUUAAAAGUAGUGAUCCAUUUCAGCUAUGAUUACUAGUCUCUACCAUGUGAUUGUGCUUUUUGGUAAUCCAAGUUAUUUAGACUGAUGAUGUGCUGGUGAUACGUCUACAACGUAUCUAUAAUUUUUGAUUGUUUCAUGCUAUUAUAUUACCUGUUUUGGAUGUUUAUGGGCUUUACUUUACACUUUCAUAUCACUUUUGGGACUAACCUACUAACCGGAGGCCCAGCCCGAAUUGUUGUUUUUUUGCCUAUUUCAGUAUGUCGAAGGAAAGGAAUAUCAAACGGAGUGCAAACGGAAUGAAACCUUCGGGAGCGAUCUUUUUGGAACAAACGCAAUCCAGGAGACUUGGAGUGGACGUCAAGAAGCAGCCGAGGCGGCCACGAGGGUGGCUAGCGCGCCCAGUAAGAGUGGGCGCACCCCUGCCUCGUGGGCCCCUCGUGGCUCCCCUGACCGACUUGCUUCGCCUAUAUAUAUCUACGUACCCCGAAAACAUCCACGAGCACCACGAGAAAUUAUUUCCACUGCCGCAAUCUUCUGCAUCCGCGAGAUCCCAUCUUGGAGCCUUCGUCGGUGCUCCGCCGGAGGGGGAAUCGACCACGGAGGCCCUCUCCAUCUCCACCAAGGCCUCUCCGAUGAGUUGUGAGUAGUUUACCACAAACCUUUGGGUCCAUAGUUAUUAGCUAGAUGACUUCUUCUCUCUCUUUGAUUCUCAAUACAAAGUUCUCCUUCCUUUUCUUGGAGAUCUAUUUGAUGUAACUCUUUUUGUGGUGUGUUUGUCGAGAUCCGAUGAAUUGUGGGUUUAUGAUCAAGUUUAUCUAUGAGAAAUAUUUGAAUCUCCUCUAAAUUCUUUUAUGUAUGAUUGGUUAUCUUUGCAAGUCUCUUCAAAUUAUCAGUUUGGUUUGGCCUACUAGAUUGAUCGUUCUUGCCAUGGGAGAAGUGCUUAGCUUUGGGUUCAAUCUUGCGGUGUCCUUUCCCAGUGACAGCAGGUGCAGCAAGGUACGUAUUGUAUUGUUACCAUCAAGGAUAAAAAGAUGGGGUUCAUAUCAUAUUGCAUGAGUUUAUCCCUCUACAUCAUGUCAUCUUGCUUAAUGUGUUACUCUGUUCUUAUGAACUUAAUACUCUAGAUGCAGGCAGGAGUCGGUCGAUGUGUGGAGUAAUAGUAGUAGAUGCAGGCAGGAGUCGGUCUACUUGUUGCGGACGUGAUGCCUAUAUACAUGAUCAUGCCUAGAUAAUCUCAUAACUAUGCACUUUUCUGUCAAUUGCUCGACAGUAAUUUGUUCACCCACCGUAAUAAUUAUGCUAUCUUUAGAGAAGCCACUAGUGAAGCCUAUGGCCCCGGGGUCUAUCUUUCUCACUUUCGCAAGUUACCGUGAAGGGAUUGACAACCCUUUUAUCGCGUUGGUUGCGAGGUUCUUGUUUGUUUGUGUAGGUGCGUGGGACUUUUGAGGAGCCUCCUACUGGAUUGAUACCUUGGUUCUCAAAACUGAGGGAAAUACUUACGCUACUUUGCUGCAUCACCCUUUCCUCUUCAAGGGAAAAACCAACGCAUGCUCAACAGGUAGCAAGAAGGAUUUCUGGCGCCGUUGCCAGGGAGGUCUUCGCUCAAGUCAAGACAUACCAAGUAUCCAUCACAAACUCAUCUCCCUCGCAUUACAUUAUUUGGCAUUUGCCUCUCGUUUUACUCUCCCCCACUUCACCCUUGCCAUUUUAUUCGCCCUUCUUCCGUUCGAUCUUAUGUUUGCUUGUGUCUCCAUGUGCCUUCUAUGUGCUUUCAUCUUUGCUUGCUAAAAAACUAUUGAUAUGGAUCCACUUAAAGUGUUCUACUUGGAUCAUCUUUGAUCCUUAUGCGCUCGUGCUGAAACCCCAACUAGCCUAGUUGAUGGGAAAUCCUUAGAUGAGCAUGCUCAUUUUGUGCGUCAAUGUUUGUUUGAAAAGGGAAGCUCUUAUGGUAUCACAUAAAUAGUUUGCUUUGCUAUGCUUGGAAUCUUUGUGAAAUUUAUGAUUUUACUUGUUGCUCUAAGAACCCUAAAAAACACCUUCCCUACCUAUGUGAGUUUAAUGAUAAUGAAAUCUUAUCUUCUUAUGCAAAAGGUGUUUUAUAGUUACUAUGAUAUCGAACAAAUUGAAGAAUUUGUCGUUUUUAAUGGUGCUCAUGAAGUUGCUUCUUUGAUUAAACAGUAUGAUAUUACUCUCUACAAAUCUGAAAACUCCGACAUACUUAAAUAUUGCUAUGAAAACUUUGCUCAUAAUGCCUAUGUUAAGGAAUUUAUUGAGAGAAUGAUCGUUGCUUUGGAAGAAAAUAAUGAUAUGCAUGAAUCUAUGGAUAAUUAUGAUUCCGAUGAUUUGAUUGAAAUUUCCCUUGAUGAACAUGAUGCUUGCUAUUCUUGUGGCCAUGAUGCCAAUAUUUAUGAAGACGAAUUUGCUAUAGUUCCUUAUGUUAAACAUGAGAUCGUUGCUAUUGCAUCCACACUUGAUAGUUCCCUCGAUGAAAAGCAUGAUUGCAAUGAUGUUACUAUAAAUUCUCUUGAUGUCAAUUGUGCUAAUAAUAUGCAAAAUCCUAAGCUUGGGGAUGCUAGUUUUGCUAUGUCUACUACUUGUUGCAAUGAUCAUGAUUGGGGUGCUUCUUCUUAUGAUCUUGAAAAUUUGUUUAAGCCCCAUAAUGAAUAUGAGAUUGAUAAUAGUGUUUGCAAUAAUAUUGAAAGUGGGUUUGGAAGAGUGUCAACUUUAGAUCCCACAUAUUUGGAUAAUGCUCAAUCUUAUGAAGUUUUUGAUAAAAGUGGGUUUGGAGAGGUCAUGACUUUAGUUAAUGUUAGUCCCACUAUUUUGGAAGAGUGUCAACUUUGCAUGCAUGUGGAUCAUGUUGAAAAUAUUUUGUUUGAUAGUUAUUUUGUUGAAUUUGCUUAUGAUCCUGCAUGUAAUUAUUAUGAGAGAGUAAAAUAUGGUUGUAGAAAUUUUCAUGUUACUAAAUUACCUCUCUUCAUGUUGAGAUUGCUACCGUCUUCUUCCUUGCAUAUGCUAGUUUUUGCUUGCAUUGAUAAUUUGUUUACUUAUAAAAAACCUAUGCAUAGGAAGUAUGUUAUACUUAAGUGUGUUUUUCACAUGUUUUAUGAUGCUCUCUUUAUACUUCAAUUCUUGUCUUUCAUGUGAGCAUCAUUGAAAUCUUAAUGCCUAGCUAAAAAGGCUUUAAAGAAAAGUGUUUGUUGGGAGACAACCCAAUAUUUUUCCUUACUGUUAUUCAAUAAAUAUAUCAUCUACAUUCUAUUUAGAUGUGUUUUCAUAUAUUAAUUAGUGUUUGUGCCAAAUAGAACCUAUAGGAUAACCUUGGGUGAAAGUUAAUUUGAUUCUGCUGAAAAACAGAAACUUUGCGUGCACGAGAAGCAAUUCAAUAAAUCAUAGAAACAUGCUUUUGCAUUGGUUUAUUUUUGUUGUAGAUCAAUAGAUAAAUUACCUAGGACUUCCUAUUUUGGUAGGAUUUUUAGAGUUCCAGAAGUAUUCGAAAGUUACAGAUUGCUACAGACUGUUCUGCUUUUGACAGAUUCUGUUUUUCGUGUGUUGUUUGCUUAUUUUGAUGCAUCUAUGGCUAGUAUCGAUGGGUAUGAACCAUAGAGAAGUUGGAAUACAGUAGGUUUAACACCAAUAUAAAUAAAGAAUGAGUCCAUUACAGUACCUUAUGUGGUGGUUUUUCUUUCUUGCACUAACGGAGCUUAUAAGAUUUCCUGUUGAGUUUUGUGUUGUGAAGUUUUCAAGUUUUGGGUAAAGAUUUGAUGGACUAUGGAAUAAGGAGUGGCAAAAGCCUAAGCUUGGGGAUGCCCCAGAAGGCAUCCCCUCUUUCAUCUUCGUUUAUCGAUAACUUUACUUGGAGCUAUAUUUUUAUUUACCACAUGAUAUGUGUUUUGCUUGGAGCGUCUUGUAUGAUAUGAGUCUUUGCUUUUCAGUUUACCACAAUCAUCCUUUUUGUACACACCUUUUGGGAGAGACCCACAUGAUUUAAAAAAUAUUAGAAUACUCUAUGUGCUUCACUUAUAUCUUUCGAGCUAUAUAGUUUUUCUCUAUGUGCUUCACUUAUAUUUUCUAGAGCACGGCGAUGGCUUUAUUUUGAAGAAAUUAUUGAUCUCUCAUGCUUCACUUAUAUUAUGUUGAGAGUCUUUUAGAACAUCAUGGUAUUUGUUAUGGUUAUAAAUUUGGUCCUAGAAUUAUGAGCAUCCAAGUUGGGUAUAAUAAAAACUAUCAUAUAAAGUGCAUUGAAAACUAUGGUCGAUUUGAUGCUUGAUAAUUGUUUUGAGAUAUAAAGGUAAUAAUGUUAGAGUCGCGCUAGUUGGGUAAUUAUGAAAUUGAGAAAUACUUGUGUUAAAGUUGGCAAGUCCUGUAGCAUGCACGUAUGGUAAAAGUUGUGUGACAAAUUUGUUGCAUGGGAUGCUCUUUGAGUGCUUUCCUUAUGAGUGGCAGUCGGGGACAAUCGAUGGUCUUUUCCUACCAAUCUAUCCCUCUAGGGGCAUGCGUAGUAGUACUUUGCUUUGAGGGCUAAUAAAUUUUUGCAAUAAGUAUAUGAGUUCUUUAUGACUAAUGUGAGUCCAUGGAUAUACGCACACUUACCCUUCCACUUUGCUAGCCUCUAUUAUGUCGCGCAACUUUUGCUGGUAUUAUGAACCCAUUAUUUACCUUCCUCAAAACAGCCACCAUACCUACCUAUUAUGGCAUCUCCAUAGCCAUUCUGAGAUAUAUUGCCAUGCAACUUUCCACCGUUCCGUUUAUAAAGACACACGUUAUCAUUGUCAUAUUGCUCUUGGCAUGAUUAUGUAGUUGACAUAGUAUUUGUGGCAAGGUCACCUUCAUAAUUUUUCAUACAUGUCACUCUUGAUUCAUUGCAUAUCCCGGUACACCACCGGAGGCAUUCACAUAGAGUCAUAUAUUGUUCUAGUUCUUGAGUUGUAAAUCAAUAAAAGUGUGAUGAUCUUCAUUAUUAGAGUGUUGUCCCAAGUGAGGAAAGGAUGAUGAAGACUAUGAUUCCCCCACAAGUCGGGAUGAGACUUCGGACUUUAUAAAAAUAAAAGAGGCCAAAGAAGCCCAUAAAAAGAGAGGCCAAAGAAGCCCACGAAAAUUAAAAAAAAUGAUGAGAGAAAAAGAGAGAAGGGACAAUGCUACUAUCCUUUUACCACAUUUGUGCUUCAAAGUAGCACCAUGAUCUUCAUGAUAGAGAGUCUCCGAUGUUGUCACUUUCUUAUACUAGUGGGGAAUUUUCAUUAUAGAACUUGGCUUGUAUAUUCCAAUGAUGGGCUUCCUCAAAACGCCCUAGGUCUUUGUGAGCAAGCAAGUUGGAUGCACACCCACUUAGUUUCUUUUGUUGAGCUUUCAUAUAUUUAUAGCUCUAGUGCAUCCGUUGCAUGGCAAUCCCUACUCACUCGCAUUGAUAUCUAUUAAUGGGCAUCUCCAUAGCCCGUUGACACGCCUAGUUGAUGUGAGACUAUCUUCUCCCUCUUUGUCUUCAUAACCACCACCAUAUACCACACAUAUUGCUAUGUCCAUGGCUUGCGCUCAUGUAUUGCGUAAGAAUUGAAAAGGCUGAAGCGCUUAAAAAAUAUGAACCAAUUGCUCGGCUCGUCAUCGGGGUUAUGCAUAAGGGGAGUAUUUUGUGUGAUAGAGAUCAAGCAUGGCCUAACUAUAUGAUUUUGUAGGGAUGAGCUUUCUUUGGCUAUGCUAUUUUGAUAGGACAUGAUUAUUUGCUAGUAUGCUUCGAAGUAUUACUGUUUUUUAUGUUUUAUAAGCUUUUAUCUUGAAUCAUUUGGAUCUGAACAAUCAUGCCACAAUAAAGAGAACUACAUUGAGAAUUAUGCUAGGUAGCAUUCCACAUCAAAAAUUCUGUUUUUAUCAUUUACCUACUCGAGGACGAGCAGGAAUUAAGCUUGGGGAUGCUUGAUACGUCUCUAACAUAUCUAUAAUUUUUGAUUGUUUCAUGAUAUUAUAUUACCUGUUUUGGAUAUUUAUGGGCUUUACUUUACACUUUUAUAUCAUUUUUGGGACUAACCUACUAACCGGAGGCCCAGCCUGAAUUGCUGUUUUUUGUGCCUAUUUCAGUAUAUCGAAGGAAAGGAAUAUCAAACGGAGUCCAAACAGAAUGAAACCUUCGGGAGCGAUCUUUUUGGAACAAACGCAAUCCAGGAGACUUGGAGUGGACGUCAAGAAGGAGCCGAGGCGGCCACGAGGGUGGCCGGCGCGCCCAGUAAGGGUGGGCGCGCCCCCUGCCUCGUGGGCCCCACAUGGCUCCCCUGACCGACUUCCUUCACCUAUAUAUAUCUACGUACCCCGAAAACAUCCAGGAGCACCACGAGAAAUUAUUUCCACCGCAGCAACCUUUUGUAUCCGCGAGAUCCCAUCUUCGAGACUUCACCGGCGCUCCGCGGAGGAGGAAUCGACCACGGAGGGCCUCUUCAUCACCACCAAGGCCUCUCCGAUGAGUUGUGAGUAGUUUACCACAGACCUUCGGGUCCAUAGUUAUUAGCUAGAUGGCUUCUUCUCUCUCUUUGAUUCUUAAUACAAAGUUCUCCUUCCUCUUCUUGGAGAUCUAUUCGAUGUAACUCUUUUUGCGGUGUGUUUGUUGAGAUCCGAUGAAUUAUGGGUUUAUGAUCAAGUUUAUCUAUGAGAAAUAUUUGAAUCUCCUCUGAAUUCUUUUAUGUAUGAUUGGUUAUCUUUGCAAGUCUCUUCGAAUUAUCAGUUUGGUUUGGCCUACUAGAUUGAUCUUUCUUGCCAUGGGAGAAGUGUUUAGCUUUGGGUUCAAUCUUGUGUUGUCCUUUCCCAGUGACAGUAGGGGCAACAAGGCACAUAUUGUAUUGUUUCUAUCAAGGAUAAAAAGAUGGGGUUUAUAUCAUAUUGCAUGAGUUUAUCCCUCUACAUCAUGUCAUCUUGCUUAAUGCGUUACUCUGUUCUUAUGAAUUUAAUACUCUAGAUGCAGGCAGGAGUCGGUCGAUGUGUGGAGUAAUAGUAGUAGAUGCAGGCAGGAGUCGGUCUACUUGUUGCGGACGUGAUGCCUAUACACAUGAUCAUGCCUAGAUAAUCUCAUAACUAUGCAUUUUUCUAUCAAUUGCUCGAUAGUAAUUUGUUCACCCACCGUAAUAAUUAUGCUAUCUUGAGAGAAGCCACUAGUGAAACCUAUGGCCCUGGGGUCUAUCUUUUAUCAUAUAAGUUUUCCAUCUACUUUUAUUUGCAUCUUUUACUUUCCAAUCUAUAUCAUAAAAAUACCAAAAAUAUUUAUCUUAUCAUAUUAUCUCUAUCAGAUCUUACUUUCGCAAGUUACCGUGAAGGGAUUGACAACCCCUUUCGUCGGACUUUUGAGGAGCCUCCUACUGGAUUGAUACCUUGAUUCUCAAAACUGAGGGAAAUACUUACGCUACUUUGCUGCAUCACCCUUUCCUCUUCAAGGGAAAAACCAACGCAUGCUUAAGUGGUAGCAGCUGGCAGUAAGUUACGCUUAUUCGUUAGGUCCUCUUGAAUGUCCGAAUUGGGUUUAACUGAGAUUUACUGCUGAGAUGAUCAAUAAGAUGGCUGAUACGUCUCCAACGUAUCUAUAAUUUUUGAUUUUUUGAUUGUUCCAUGCUAUUAUAUUACCUGUUUUGGAUGUUUAUGGGCUUUACUUUACACUUUUAUAUCAUUUUUGGGACUAACCUAUUAACCGGAGGCCCAACCUGAAUUCCUGUUUUUUUGCCUAUUUCAGUGUUUCGAAGAAAAGGAAUAUCAAACGGAGUCCAAACGGGAUGAAACCUUCGGGAGCGAUCUUUUUGGAACAAAUGCAAACCAGGGGACUUGGAGUGGAUGUCAAGCAACGAGCGAGGCGGUCACGGUGCCCGGCGCGCCCUGUAAGGGUGGGCAUGCCCCCCUGCCUCGUGGGCCCCUCGUGGCUCCCCUGACCGACUUCCUUCAUCUAUAUAUAUCUACGUACCCCGAAAACAUCCUGGAGCACCACGAGAAAUUAUUUCCACCGCAACAACCUUCUGUAUCCGCGAGAUCCCAUCUUCGAGCCUUUGCCGGCGCACGUCGGAGGGGGAAUCAACCACGGAGGGCCUCUACAUCAUCUCCAAGGCCUCUCCGAUGAGUUGUGAGUAGUUUACCAUAGACCUUUGGGUCCAUAGUUAUUAGCUAGAUGGCUUCUUCUCUCUCUUUGAUUCUCAAUACAAAGUUCUCCUUCCUCUUCUUGGAGAUCUAUUAGAUGUAACUCUUUUUGCAGUGUGUUUGUCAAGAUCCGAUGAAUUGUGGGUUUAUGAUCAAGUUUAUCUAUGAGAAUUAUUUGAAUCUCCUCUGAAUUCUUUUAUGUAUGAUUGGUUAUCUUUGCAAGUCUCUUCGAAUUAUCAGUUUGGUUUGGCCUACUAGAUUGAUCUUUCUUGCCAUAGGAGAAGUGCUUAGCUUUGGGUUCAAUCUUGCGAUGUCCUUUCCCAGUGACAACAGGGGCAGCAAGGCACGUAUUGUAUUGUUGUCACCGAGGAUAAAAAGAUGGGGUUUAUAUCAUAUUGCAUGAGUUUAUCCCUCUACAUCAUGUCAUCUUGCUUAAUGUGUUACUCUGUUCUUAUGAACUUAAUACUCUAGAUGCAGGCAGGAGUCGGUCGAUGUGUGGAGUAAUAGUAGUAGAUGCAGAAUCGUUUCGAUCUACUUGUUGCGGACGUGAUGCCUAUAUACAUGAUCAUGCCUAGAUAUUUUCAUAACUAUGCACUUUUCUAUCAAUUGCUCGACAAUAAUUUGUUCACCCACCGUAAUACUUAUGCUAUCUUGAGAGAAGCCACUAGUGAAACCUAUGCCCCCCGGGUCUAUCUUUUAUCAUAUAAGUUUUCCAUCUACUUUUAUUUGCAUUUUUUACUUUCCAAUCUAUAUCAUAAAAAUACCAAAAAUAUUUAUCUUAUCAUAUUAUUUCUAUUAGAUCUCACUUUUGCAAGUUUCCGUGAAGGGAUUGACAACCCCUUUAUCGCAUUGGUUGCGAGGUUCUUGUUUGUUUGUGUAGGCGCGUGGGACUUGUGAGGAGCCUCCUACUGGAUUGAUACCUUGGUUCUCAAAAUCGAGGGAAAUACUUACGCUACUUUGCUGCAUCACCCUUUCCUCUUCAAGGGAAAAACCAACGCAUGCUCAAGAGGUAGCAAGAAGGAUUUCUGGCGCCGUUGCCGGGAGGUCUUCGCUCAAGUCAAGACAUACCAAGUACCCAUCACAAACUCAUCUCCCUCGCAUUACAUUAUUUGCCAUUUGCCUCUCGUUUUCCUCUCCCCCACUUCACCCUUGCCGUUUUAUUUGCCCUUCUUCUAUUCGUCUUUUCGUUUUCUUUGAUGUCUUAGUUGCCUCGUUUGCUUGUUUUGUUGGAAUAGUUGUUUAUUUAUUGCUAAAAAGAGAACCUAAGAUCUAUGGAUCCUCAUCCGCUUGCCAAUCUUUUUAAGAGAUCCAAUUAUGAUGAACCAAAUUCUAGUGAUUUGAGUGCACUAGAUUAUCUUUAUGAGAUUUUGCUUGAAAUUCGUGAACCUGAAAAUUGUGAUGAAGAAAUUUAUGAAGAGAUUCACAAUAGCUCCUUGAAUAAAAAGCAUGAUUGCAAUGAUUUUAUUAUAAAUUCUAUUAAUGUCAAUUGUGUUAAUGAUAUGCAAAACCCUAAGCUUGGGGAUGCUAGUUUUGCUAUGUCCACUACUUGUUGCAAUGAUCAUGAUUGAGGUGAUUCUUCUUAUAAUCUUGAAAUUUUAUUUAAGCCCCACGAUGAAUAUGAGAUUGAUAAUAAUGUUUGCAAUAAUACUGAAUGUGGGUUUGGAAGAGUGUCAACUUUAGGUCCCACAUAUUUGGAUAAUGUUCAAUCUUAUGAAGUUUUUGAUAAAAGUGGGUUUGGAGAGGUCAUGACUUUAGUUAAUGUUAAUCCCACGAUUUUGGAAGAGUGUCAACUUUGCAUGCAUGUGGACUGUGUUGAGAAUAUGUUAUGUGAUAACUAUUUUGUUGAAUUUUCUUAUGAUCCUACAUGUAAUUUUUAUGAGAGAGGAAAAUAUGGUUGUAGAAAUUUUCAUGUUACUAAAUUACCUCUCCUCAUGUUGAGAUUGUUAUCGUCUUCUUCCUUGCAUAUGCUAGUUUUUGCUUGCCUUGCAAAUUUGUUUGCUUAUAAUAUGCCUAUGUAUAGGAAGUAUGUUAGACUUAGAUGUGUUUGUCACAUGUUUUAUGAUGCUCUCUUUAUGCUUCAAUUCUUGUUUUUUAUGUGAGCAUCAUUGAAAUCUCAAUGCCUAGCUAAAAAGGCUUUAAGGAAAAGCGCUUGUUGGGAGACAACCCAAUAUUUUUCCUUGAUGUUAUUCAAUAAAUAAUAAAUCUAGCUUGUGGUCAGAUGUUUUUUUAUGUUUUAAUUAGUGUUUGUGCCAAGUAGAACCUAUAGGAUAACUUAUGGUGAUAGUUAAUUUGAUUCUGCCGAAAAACAGAAACUUUGCGCGCACGAGAAAAAAAUCAAUAAAUCACAGAAAUGUGCUUUUGCGUUGAUUAUUUUUUAUGUAGAUCAAUAGACAAAUUAACUAGGACGUACUAUUUUGGUAGGAUUUUUGGAGUUCCAGAAGUAUUCGAAAGUUACAGAUUGCUACAGACUGUUCUACUUUUGACAGAUUCUGUUUUUCGUAUGUUGUUUGCUUAUUUUGAUGCAUCUAUGGCUAAUAUCGGGGGGUAUGAACCAUAUAGAAGUUGGAAUACAGUAGGGUUAACACCAAUAUAAAUAAAGAAUGAGUUCAUUACAGUACCUUAUGUGGUGGUUUUUCUUUCUUGCACUAACGGAGCUUAUGAGAUUUCCUGUUGAGUUUUGUGUUGUGAAGUUUUCAAGUUUUGGGUAAAGAUUUAAUGGACUAUGAAAUAAGGAGUGGCAAGAGCCUAAGCUUGGGGAUGCCCAUGGCACCCCAAGAUAUUCAAGGAUGACCAAGAGCCUAAGCUUGGGAUGCCCCGGAAGGCAUCCCCUCUUUUGUCUUCGUCUAUCAGUAACUAUACUUGGAGCUAUAUUUUUAUUCGCCACAUGAUAUGUGUUUUGCUUGGAGCGUCUUGUAUGAUAUGAGUCUUUGAUUUUUAUAUUACCACAAUCAUCCUUGAUGUACACACCUUUUGGGAGAAAUCCACACGUUUUGGAAUUUAUUAGAAUACUCUAUGUGCUUCACUUAUAUCUUUUGAGCUAGAUAAUUUUUGCUCUAGUGCUUCACUUAUAUCUUUUAGAGCACGACGGUGGUUUAAUUUUGUAGAAAUUGUUGAUCUCUCAUGCUUCACUUAUAUUAUUUUGAGAGUCUUUUAGAACAACAUGGUAUUUGCUAUGGUUAUAAAAUUGGUCCUAGAAUGAUGAGCAUCCAAGUUGGGUAUAAUAAAAACUAUCAUAGAAAGUGAAUUGGAUGAUAUGAUCAAUUUGAUGCUUGCUAAAUGUUUUGAGAUAUGGAUGGUGAUAUUAGAGCCAUGCUAGUAGGGUAAUUAUGAAUUUAAGGAAUACUUGUGUUGAAGUUUGUGAUUUCCGUAGCAUGCACGUAUGGUGAACCGCUUUGUGAUGAAGUUGGAGCACGGUUUAUUUAUUGAUUGUCUUCCUUAUGAGUGGCGGUCGGGGACGAGCGAUGAUAUUUUCCUACUAAUCUAUCCCCCUAGGAGCUGUUGGGGAACGUAGUAAUUUCAAAAAAAUUCCUACGCUCACACAAGAUCAUGGUGAUGCAUAGCAAUGAGAGGGGAGAGUGUGUCCACGUACCCUCGCAAACCGAAAGCGGAAGCGUUAGCACAACGCGGUUGAUGUAGUCGUACGUCUUCACGAUCCGAUCAAUCAAGUACCGAAUGCACGACACCUCUGAGUUCAACACACGUUCAACUCGAUGACGUCCCUUGAACUCCGAUCCAACCGAGCUUUGAGGGAGAGUUCCGUCAGCACGACGGCGUGGUGACGAUGAUGAUGUUCUACCGACGCAGGGCUUCGCCUAAGCACCGCUAUGAUAUUAUCGAGGUGGAUUAUGGUGGAGGGGGGCACCGCACAUGGCUAAGAGAUCCAAGGGAUCAAUUGUUGUCUCUAUGGGGUGCCCCCCUUCGUAUAUAAAGGAGGGGAGGAGAGGUCCGACCAGGAGGAGGAGGCACGCCCAAGCGGUGGGAGACCGGGAGUAGGACUCCUCCUUUUCCUACUUGUAGAGGGAGAGGGAAGGAAGAGGACGGAUGGAGGAAGGAAAGGGGGGGGGCGGCCCCUCCCAAUUCGGAUUGGGCUUGGGGGGGGGGGGCGCACCCCCUCCCUUGCUCCUUUCCCCUCCUUUCCACUAAAGCCCAUUAAGGCCCAUAUACCUCUCGGGGGGUUCCGAUAACCUCUCGGUGCUUCGGUAUUAUCCUGAUCUCACCCGGAACCAUUCCAGUGUCCAAAUAUAGUCGUCCAAUAUAUCGAUCUUUACGUCUUGACCAUUUCGAGACUCCUCGUCAUGUCCGUGAUCACAUCCAGGACUCCGAACUACCUUCGGUACACAAAACACAUAAAAUCAUAAUAUAACAGUCAUCGAACUUUAAGCGUGCGGACCCUACGGGUUCGAGAACUAUGUAGACAUGACCGAGACACGUCUCCGGUCAAUAACCAAUAGUGGAACCUGGAUGCUCAUAUUGGCUCCCACAUAUUCUACGAAGAUCUUUAUUAUUCAAACUGCAUAACAACAUACGUUGUUCCCUUUGUCAUCGGUAUGUUACUUGCCCGAGAUUCAAUCGUCGGUAUCUCAAUACCUAGUUCAAUCUCGUUACUGGCAAGUCUCUUUACUCGUUCCAUAAUACAUCAUCUCGCAACUAACGCAUUAGUUGCAAUGCUUGCAAGGCUUAUAUUUAUGUGCAUUACUGAGUGGGCCCAGAGAUACCUCUCUGACAAUCGGAGUGACAAAUCCUAAUCUCGAAAUACGCCAACCCAACAAGUACCUUUGGAGACACCUGUAGAGCACCUUUAUAAUCACCCAGUUACGUUGUGACGUUUGGUAGCACACAAAGUGUUCCUCCGGUAAACGGGAGUUGCAUAAUCUCAUAGUCAUAGGAACAUGUAUAAGUCAUGAAGAAAGCAAUAGCAACAUACUAAAUGAUCAAGUGCUAAGCUAACGGAAUGGGUCAAGUCAAUCACAUCAUUCUCCUAAUGAUGUGAUCCCGUUAAUCAAAUGACAAUUCAUGUCUAUGGCUAGGAAACUUAACCAUCUUUGAUUCAACGAGCUAGUCAAGUAGAGGCAUACUAGUGACACUCUGUUUGUCUAUGUAUUCACACAUGUACUAAGUUUCCGGUUAAUACAAUUCUAGCAUGAAUAAUAAACAUUUAUCAUGAAAUAAGGAAAUAAAUAAUAACUUUAUUAUUGCCUCUAGGGCAUAUUUCCUUCAGUCUCCCACUUGCACCAGAGUCAAUAAUCUAGUUCACAUCACCAUGUGAUUUAACACAAAUAUUCACAUCUGUAUGUGAUUAACACCCAUAGCUCAUAUCGUCAUGUGACCAACACCCAAAGGGUUUACUAGAGUCAAUAAUCUAGUUCACAUUGUUAUGUGAUUAACACCCAAAGAGUACUAAGUUGUGAUCAUGUUUUGCUCAUGAGAGAAGUUUAGUCAACGGGUCUGUCACAUUCAGAGCCGUAUGUAUUUUGCAAAAUAUUCUAUGUCUUCAAUGCUCUACACGGUGCUACUCUAGCUAAUUGUCCCACUUUCAAUAUAUAUCCAGAUUGAGACUUAGAGUUAUCUGGAUCGGUGUAAAAGCUUGCAUCAACGUAACUCUUUAUGACGAGCUCUUUUAUCACUUCCAUAAUUGAGAAGUAUUUCCUUAGUCUUCACUAAGGAUAAUUUUGACCGCUGUCCAAUGAUCUACUCCUAGAUCACUAUUGUACUCUCUUGCCAUACUCCUGGUGAGGUACACAAUAGGUCUGCUACACAACAUAGCAUACUUUAUAGAACCUAUGACUGAGGCAUAGGGAAUGACUUUUCAUUAUCUUUCUAUUUUUCUGCCAUGGUCGGGAUUUGAGUCUUACUCAACUUCACACCUCGCAACACAGGCAAGAACUCCUUUUUGACUGUUCCAUUUUGAACUACUUCAAAAUCUUAUCAAGGUAUGUACUCAUUGAAAAAUCUUAUCAAGCGUCUUGAUCUAUCUCUAUAGAUCUUGAUGCUCAAUGUGUAAGUAGCUUCACCGAGGUCUUUCAUUGAAAAACUCUUAUUCAAGUAUCCCCUUUUGCUAUCUAGAAAUUCUAUAUCAUUUCCAAUCAACAAUAUGUCAUCCACAUAUAAUAUUAGAAAUGUUAUAGAGAUCCCACUCACUUUCUUGUAAAUAUAGGCUUCUCCAAAAGUCUGUAUAAACCCCUAUGUUUUGAUCAACUCAUCAAAGCGUAUAUUCCAACUCCGAGAUGCUUGCACCAGUCCGUUGAUGGAUCGCUAGAGCUUGCACAUUUUGUUAGCACCUUUAGGAUUGACAAAACCUUCUGGUUGUAUCAUAUACAACACUUCUUUAAGAAAUAUCCAUUUAAGGAAUGCAGUUUUGACAUCCAUUUUCCAGAUUUCAUAAAAUGUGGCAAUUGCUAACAUGAUUCGGACAGACUUAAGCAUCGUUACGAGUGAGAAAAUCUCAUCGUAUUCAACAUCUUGAACUUGUCGAAAACCUUUCACAACAAGUCGAGCUUUGUAGAUAGUAACACUACUAUCAGUGUCCAUCUUCCUCUUGAAGAUCCAUUUAUUUAACUUGGCUUGCUGAUCAUCGAGCAAGUCAACCAAAGUCCAUACUUUGUUCCCAUACAUGGAUCCUAUCUCAGAUUUUAUGGCCUCAAGCCAUUUCGCGAAAUCUGGGCUCAUCAUUGCUUCCUCAUAGUUCAUAGGUUCAUCAUGGUCUAGUAACAUGACUUCCACAAUAGGAAUACCGCACCACUCUGGUGCGGACCAUACUCUGGAAGACCUACGAGGUUAUGUAGUAACUUGAUCUGAAGUUUCAUGAUCAUCAUCAUUAGCUUCCUCACUAAUUGGUGUAGGAAUCACUGGAACUGAUUUCUGUGAUGAACUACUUUCCAGUUCAGGAGAAGGUACAAUUAACUCAUCAAGUUCUACUUUCCUCUCACUCACUUCUUUCGAGAGAAACUCAUUCUCUAGAAAGGAUCCAUUCUUAGCAACGAUCUUGCCUUCGGAUCUGCGAUAGAAGGUGUACCCAACAGUUUCCUUUGGGUAUCCUAUGAAGAUGCAUUUCUCUGAUUUUGGGUUCAAGCUUAUCAGAUUAAAGCCUUUUCACAUAAGCAUCGCAGCCCCAAACUUUUAAGAAACGACAACUUUGGUUUCUUGCCAAACCACAGUUCAUAAGGUGUCAUCUCAACGGAUUUUUGAUUGUGCCCUAUUUAAAGCGAAUGUAGCUGUCUCUAAUGCAUAACCCCAAAACGAUAGUGGUAAUCUGGUAAGAGACAUCAUAGAUCACACCAUAUCCAAUAAAGUGCGGUUACGACGUUCGGACACACCAUUACGCUGUGUUGUUCCAUGUGGCGUGAGCUGUGAAACUAUUCCACAUUGUUUUAAAUGAAGGACAAACUCGUAACUCAAAUAUUCUCCUCCACGAUCAGAUCGUAGAAACUUUAUUUUCUUGUUACGAUGAUUCUCCACUUCACUCUGAAUUUCUUUGAACUUUUCAAAUGUUUCAGACUUGUGCUUCAUUAAGUAGAUAUACUCAUAUCUGCUCAAAUCAUCUUGUGAAGGUCAGAAAAUAAUGAUACCCGCCACGAGCAUCAACACUCAUUGGACUGCAUACAUCGGUAUGUAUAAUUUCCAAUAAGUCACUAGCUCAUUCCAUUGUUUUGGACAACAGAGUUUCAGUCAUCUUGCCCAUAAGGCACGGUUCGCAAGCAUCAAAUGAUUCAUAAUCAAGUGAUUCCAAAAGUCCAUCUAUAUGGAGUUUCUUCAUGUGCUUUACACGGAUAUGACCCAAACGGCAGUGCCACAAAUAUGCUGCACUAUCAUUAUCAACUUUGCAUCUUUUGGCAUCAAUAUUAUGAAUAUGUGUAUUACUACGAUCAAGAUUCAAUAAACCAUCAACAUUGGGUGUAUGACCAUAGAAGGUUUUAUUCAUAUAAACAGAAUAACAAUUUAUUCUCCAUCUUAGAUGAAUAAUCGUAUCGCAAUAAACAUGAUCUAAUCAUAUUUAUGCUCAACGCAAACACCAAAUAACAUUUAUUUAGGUUCUACACUAAUCUCGAAAGUAUAGGGAGUGUACGAUGAUGAUCAUAUCAAUCUUGGAACCACUUCCAACACACAUCGUCACUUCAUCCUCAACUAGUCUCUGUUUAUUCUGUAACUCCUGUUUUGAGUUACUAAUCUUAGCAACCGAACAAGUAUCAAAUACUCAGGGAUUACUAUAAACACUAGUAAGGUACACAUCAAUAACUUGUAUAUCAAAUAUACAUUUGUUCACUUUGCCAUCCUUCUUAUCCACCAAAUAUUCAGGGCAUUUCCGCUUCCAGUGACCAUUUCAUUUGUAGUAGAAGCACUUAGUUUCAGGCUUUGGUCUAGCUUUGGGCUUCUUCACGAGAGUGACAACUAGCUUGCCAUUCUGCUUGAAGUUCCCUUUCUUUCCCUUUGCCCUUUUCUUGAAACUAGAGGUCUUAUCAAUCAUCAACACUUGAUGCUCUUUUCUUGAUUUCUACCUUCAUCGAUUUCAGCAUCACGAAGAGCUCGGGAAUCAUUUUCUUCAUCCCUUGCAUACUAUAGUUCAUCACGAAGUUCCAGUAACUUGGUGAUGGUGACUAGAGAACUCUGUCAAUCACUAUCUUAUCCGAAAGAUUAACUCCCAUUUGAUUCAAGCGAUUGUAGUACUCAGAGAAUCUAAGCACUUGCUCACUAGUUGAGCAAUUCUCCUCCAUGUUUUAGGUGAAGUAUUUGUCAUAGGUCUCAUACCUCUUGACACGGGCAUUAGUCUGAAAUACCAAUUUCAACUCUUGGAACAUCUCAUAUGCUCAAUGACGUUUCAAAAACAUUUUGAAGUCCUGGUUCUAAGCCGUAAAGUGUGGUGCACUAAACUAUCAAGUAGUCAUCAUAUUGAGCUAGCCAAACGUUCAUAACGUCUGCAUCUUCUCCUGCAAUAGGUUUGUCACCUAGCGGUGCAUCAAGGACAUAAUUCUUCUGUGCAGCAAUGAGGAUAAACCUCAGCUCAUAGACACAGUCCGCAUCAUUGCUACUAUCAUCUUUCAACUUAGUUUUCUCUAGGAACAUAUAAAAAACAUAGGGAAGCAACAACGCGAGCUAUUGAUCUACAACAUUAUUUGCAAAAUACUACCAGGACUAAGUUCAUGAUAAAUUUUAGUUCAAUUAAUCAUAUUACUUAAGAACUCCCACUUAGGAUAGACAUCCCUCUAAUCAUCUAAGUGAUCACGUGAUCCAAAUCAACUAAACCAUAACCGAUCAUCACGUGAAAUGGAGUAGUUUUCAAUGGUGAAUAUCACUAUGUUGAUCAUAUCUACUAUAUGAUUCAUGCUCGACCUUUCGGUCUUAGUGUUUCGAGGCCAUAUCUGCAUAUCCUAGGCUCGUCAAGUUUAACCUGAGUAUUCUGCGUGUGCAAAACUGGCUUGCAGCCGUUGUAGAUGGACGUAGAGCUUAUCACACCCGAUCAUCACGUGGUGUCUGGGCACGACGAACUUUGGCAACGAUGCAUACUCAGGGAGAACACUUUUAUCUUGAAAUUUAGUGAGAGGUCAUCUUAUAAUGCUAUCGUCAAUCAAAGCAAGAUAAGAUGCAUAAAGGAUAAACAUCACAUGCAAUCAAUAUAAGUGAUAUGAUAUGGUCAUCAUCAUCGUGUGCUUGUGAUCUCCAUCUCCGAAGCACCGUCAUGAUCACCAUCGUCACCGGCGUGACACCUUGAUCUCCAUCAUAGCAUCGUUGUUGUCUCACCAACUAUUGCUUCUACGACUAUCGCUACCGCUUAGUGAUAAAGUAAAGAAAUUACAGGGCGUUUGCAUUGCAUACAAUAAAGCGACAACCAUAUGGCUCCUGCCAGUUGCCGAUAACUUGGUUACAAAACAUGAUCAUCUCAUACAAUAAAAUAUAGCAUCACGUCUUGACCAUAUCACAUCACAUCAUGCCCUGCAAAAACAAGUUAGACGUCCUCUACUUUGUUGUUGCAAGUUUUACGUGGCUGCUACGGGCUGAGCAAGAACCAUUCUUACCUACACAUCAAAACCACAACGAUAGUUUGUCAAGUUAGUGCUGUUUUAACCUUCUCAAGGACCGGGCAUAGCCACACUCAGUUCAACUAAAGUUGGAGAAACUGACACCCGCUAGCCACCUAUGUGCAAGGCACGUCGGUAGAACCAGUCUCGCGUAAGCGUACGCGUAAUGUCGUUCCAGGCCGCUUCAUCCAACAAUACUGCCGAACCAAAGUAUGACACGCUGGCAAGCAGUAUGACUUGUAUCACCCACAACUCACUUGUGUUCUACUCGUGCAUAUAACAUCUACGCAUAAAACCAGGCUCGGAUGCCACUGUUGGGGAACGUAGUAAUUUCAAAAAAAAUUCCUACGCACACAUAGGAUCAUGGUGAUGCAUAGCAACGAGAGGGGAGAGUGUGUCCACGUACCCUCGUAGACCGAAAGCGGAAGCAUUAGCACAACGCGGUUGAUGUAGUCGUACGUCUUCACGAUCCGACUGAUCAAGUACCGAACACAAGGCACCUCCGAGUUCAGCACACGUUCAACUCGAUGAUGUCCCUCGAACUCCGAUCCAGCCGAGCUUUGAGGGAGAGUUCCGUCAGCACGACGGCGUGGUGAUGAUGAUGAUGUUCUACCGACGCAGGGCUUUGCCUAAGCACCGUUACAAUAUUAUCGAGGUGGAUUAUGGUGGUGGGGGCACCGCACACGGCUAAGAGAUCCAAGAGAUCAAUUGUUGUCUCUAUGGGGUGCCCCCCUCCUCCGUAUAUAAAGGAGGGGAGGAGAGGGCCGGCCAGGAGGUGGAGGCGCGCCCAAGGGGGGGAGACCUACUCCCACCGGGAGUAGAACUCCUCCUUUUCCUACUUGGAGAGGGAGAGGGAAGGAAGAGGAAGGAGGGAGGAAGGAAAGGGGGGCUGCUACGUCUUGAGCUUGUGUUGGUUUUCCUUGAAGAGGAAAGGGUGACGCAGCAAUAGUAGCGUAAGUAUUUCCCUCGGUUUUUGAGAACCAAGGUAUCAAUCCAGUAGGAGGCUCCUCAAAUGUCCCACGACCUACACAAAUAAACAAAGAACUCGCAACCAAUGCAAUAAAGGGGUUGUCAAUCCCUUCACGGCCACUUGCAAAAGUGAGAUCUGAUAGAGAUAAUAUGAUAAGAUAAAUAUAUUUUUGGUAUUUUAUAAUAUAGAUGCAGAAAGUAAAGAUGCAAAUAAAAGUAGAUUGAAAGCUUACAUGAUAAAAGAUAGACCCGGGGGCCAUAGGUUUCACUAGUAGCUUCUCUCAAGAUAGCAUAAGUAUUACGGUGGGUGAACAAAUUACUGUCGAGCAAUUGAUAGAAAAGAGAAUAAUUAUGAGAUUAUCUAGGCAUGAUCAUGUAUAUAGGCAUCACGACCGUGACAAGUAGACCGACUCCUGCCUGCAUCUACUACUAUUACUCCACACAUCGACCGCUAUCCACCAUGCAUCUAGAGUAUUAAGUUCAUAAGAACAGAGUAACGCAUUAAGAAAGAUGACAUGAUGUAGAGGGAUAAACUCAAGCAAUAUGAUAUAAACCCCAUCUUUUUAUCCUCGAUGGCAACAAUACAAUAUGUGCCUUGCAACCCUUUCUGUCACUGGGUAAGGACACCGCAAGAUUGAACCCAAAGCUAAGCACUUCUCCCAUGGCAAGAAAGAUCAAUCGAGUAGGCCAAACCAAACUGAUAAUUCGAAGAGACUUGCAAAGAUAACUCAAUCAUACAUAAAAGAAUUCAGAGAAGAUUCAAUUAUUUCUCAUAGAUAAACUUGAUCACAAACCCACAAUUCAUCGGAUCUCGACAAACACACCGCAAAAAGAGUUUACAUCAAAUAGAUCUCCACAAGAGAGGGGGAGAACAUUGUAUUGAGAUCCAAAAAGAGAGAAGAAGCCAGCUAGCUAAUAACUAUGGACCCAAAGGUCUAUGGUAAACUACUCACAACUCAUCGAAAGGGCUAUGGUGUUGAUGUAGAAGCCCUCCAUGGUGGAUUCCCCCUCCGGCAGAACGCCGGCGACGGCUCCAAGAUGGGAUCUCGCGGGUACAGAAGGUUACGGUGGCGGAAAUAUUUCUUCGGUGGCUCCUUGUAUGUUUUCGGGGUACGGAGGUAUAUAUAGGAGGAAGAAGUACGUCGGUGGCCGCUCGAGGGGCCCAAGAGACAGUGGGGCGCGCCCAGAAGGAGUGGGCGCGCCCUCCUAUCUCCUGGCCGCCUUGAUUGCUUCUUGACUUGCACUCCAAGUCCUCUGGAUCAUGUUCGUUCCAAAAAUCACGCUCCCAAAGGUUUCGUUCUGUUUGGACUCCGUUUGAUCCUUUUCUUCGAAAUACUGAAAUAGGCAAAAAAAAGCAAUACGGGCUGGGCCUCCGGUUAGUAGGUUAGUCCCAAAAAUGAUAUAAAUAUGUAAAAUAAAGCCCAUAAACAUCCAAAAGGGGUAAUAUAAUAGCAUGGAACAAUCAAAAAUUAUAGAUACGUUGGAGACAUAUCACCUCCCCCCUCCCAAUUCGGAUUGGGCUUGGGCGGGGGGGGGCCCUCCCUUGCUCCUUUCCCCUAAAGCCCAUUAAGGCCCAUAUACCUCCCGGGGGGGGGGGGUUCCGAUAACCUCCCGGUGCUCCGGUAUUAUCCUGAUCUCACCCGGAACCAUUCCGGUGUCCAAAUAUAGUCGUCCAAUAUAUUGAUCUUUACAUCUCGACCAUUUCGAGACUCCUCGUCAUGUCCGUGAUCACAUCCAGGGCUCCGAACUACCUUCGGUACAUCAAAACACAUAAACUCAUAAUAUAACCGUCAUCAAACUUUAAGCGUGCGGACCCAACGGGUUCGAGAACUAUGUAGACAUGACCGAGACACGUCUCCGAUCAAUAACCAAUAGCGGAACUUGGAUGCUCAUAUUGGCUCCCACAUAUUCUAUGAAGAUCUUUAUCGGUCAAACCGCAUAACAACAUACGUUGUUCCCUUUGUCAUCGGUAUGUUACUUGCCCGAGAUUCGAUCGUCGGUAUCUCAAUACCUAGUUCAAUCUCAUUACUGGCAAGUCUCUUUACUCGUUCCGUAAUACAUCAUCUCGCAACUAACUCAUUAGUUGCAAUGCUUGCAAGGCUUAUAUUUAUGUGCAUUACCGAGUGGGCCCAGAGAUACCUCUCUGACAAUCGGAGUGACAAAUCCUAAUCUCGAAAUACGCCAACCUAACAAGUACCUUUGGAGACACCUGUAGAGCACCUUUAUAAUCACCCAGUUACGUUGUGACGUUUGGUAGCACACAAAGUGUUCCUCCGGCAAACGGGAGUUGCAUAAUCUCAUAGUCAUAGGAACAUGUAUAAGUCAUGAAGAAAGCAAUAGCAACAUACUAAACGAUCAAGUGCUAAGCUAACGGAAUGGGUCAAGUCAAUCACAUCAUUCUCCUAAUGAUGUGAUCCCGUUAAUCAAAUGACAAUUCAUGUCUAUGGCUAGUCAAGUAGAGGCAUACUAGUGACACUCUGUUUGUCUAUGUAUUCACACAUGUACUAACUUUCCGGUUAAUACAAUUCUAGCAUGAAUAAUAAACAUUUAUCAUGAAAUAAGGAAAUAAAUAAUAACUUUAUUAUUGCCUCUAGGGCAUAUUUCCUUCAGUCUCCCACUUGCACUAGAGUCAAUAAUCUAGUUCACAUCACCAUGUGAUUUAACACAAAUAUUCACAUCUGUAUGUGAUUAACACCCAUAGCUCAUAUCGUCAUGUGACUAACACCCAAAGGGUUUACUAGAGUCAAUAAUCUAGUUCACAUUGUUAUGUGAUUAACACCCAAAGAGUACUAAGUUGUGAUCAUGUUUUUCUCAUGAGAGAAGUUUAGUCAACGGUAAACGGGAGUUGCAUAAUCUCAUAGUCAUAGGAACAUGUAUAAGUCAUGAAGAAAGAAAUAGCAACAUACUAAAUGAUCAAGUGCUAAGCUAACGAGAGUGGGUCAAGUCAAUCACAUCAUUCUCCUAAUGAUGUGAUCCCAUUAAUCAAAUGACAACUCAUGUAUAUAGCUAGGAAACUUAACCAUCUUUGAUAUGAUUCAACGAGCUAGUCAAGUAGAGGCAUACUAGUGACACUCUAUUUGUCUAUGUAUUCACACAUGUACUAAGUUUCCGGUUAAUACAAUUCUAGCAUGAAUAAUAAACAUUUAUCAUGAAAUAAGGAAAUAAAUAAUAACUUUAUUAUUGCCUCUAGGGCAUAUUUCCUUCAGGAGCAUGUGCGUAAUGCUUGGUUUUUGAUGACUUGUAGAUUUUUGUAAUAAGUAUAUGAAUUAUUUAUGACUAAUGUUGAGUCCAUGGAUUAUACGCACUCUUUCCCUUCCACCAUUGCUAGACUUUCUUGUGCCACGCAACUUUCGCCUGUACCAUACACCUACCAUAUACCUUCCUCAAAACAGCCACCAUACCUACCUAUUAUGGCAUUUCCAUAGCCAUUCUGAGAUAUAUUGCCAUGCAACUUUUCACUGUUCCGUUUAUUAUGACACGCAUCAUCAUUGCCAUAUUGCUCUUGCAUAAUCAUGUAGUUGACAUCGUAUUUGUGGCAAGGCCACCCUCAUGAUUUUCAUACAUGUCGCUCUUGGUUCAUUGCAUAUCCCGGUACACCGCCGGAGGCAUUCAUAUAGAGUCAUAUCUUGUUCUAAGUAUCGAGUUGUAAUCUUGAGUUGUAAGUAAAUAAAAGUGUGAUGAUCUUCAUUAUUAGAGCAUUGUCCCAAGUGAGGAAAGAACGAUGGAGACUAUGAUUCCCCCAUAAGUCGGCAUGAGACUUCAGACUUUACAAAAAAAGAGAAAGGCCAUAUUAAAAAAAGGCCAAAUAAAAAAAUGAGAGAAAAAGAGAGAAGGGAAAAUGCUACUAUCCUUUGACCACACUUGUGCUUUAAAGUAGCACCAUGAUCUUCAUAAUAGAGAGUCUACUAUGUUGUCACUUUCAUAUACUAGUGGGAAUUUUUCAUUAUAGAACUUGGCUUGUAUAUUCCAACGAUGGGCUUCCUCAAAACGCCCUAGGUCUUUGUGAGCAAGCAAGUUGGAUGCACACCUACUUAGUUCUUUUUGUUGAGCUUUCAUACAUUUAUAGCUCUAGUGGAUCUGUUGCAUGGCAAUCCCUACUCACUCACAUUGAUAUCUAUUAAUGGGCAUCUCCAUAGCCCGUUGAUACGCCUAGUGGAUGUGAGACUAUCUUCCUCUUUUUUGUCUUCCCCACAACCACCAUUCUAUUCCACAUAUAGUGCUAUGUCCAUGGCAAACGCUCAUGUAUUGCGUGAAAGUUGAAAAAGUUUGAGAAUACUAAAGUAUGAAACAAUUUCUUGGAUUAUCAUCGGGGUUGUGCAAGAUUAAAUACUUUGUGUGAUGAAGAUAGAGCAUAGACAGACCAUAUGAUAUUGUAGGGAUAGCUUUCUUUAGCCAUGAUAUUUUGAGAAGACAUGAUUACUUUGUUAGUAUGCUUGAAGUAUUAUUGUUUAUCAUGUCAAUAUGAACUUUUAUUUUGAAUCAUUUGGACCUGAACAUUCAUGACACAAUAAAGAAAAUUACAUUGAGAAUUAUGCUAGGUAGCAUUCCACAUCAAAAAUUCUGUUUUUAUCAUUUACCUACUCGAGGACGAGCAGGAAUUAAGCUUGGGGAUGCUUGAUACGUCUCCAGCGUAUCUAUAAUUUUUUAUUGUUCCAUGCUAUUAUAUUACCUGUUUUGGAUGUUUAUGGGCUUUAAUUUACACUUUUGUAUCAUUUUUGGGACUAACCUAUUAACCGAAGGCCCAGACCGAAUUGCUAUUUUUUUUGCCUAUUCAGUGUUUCGAAGAAAAGGAAUAUCAAACGGAGUCCAAACGGGAUGAAACCUUCGGGAGCGAUCUUUUUGGAACAAAUGCAAACCAGGGGACUUGGAGUGGACGUCAAGCAAUGAGCGAGGCAGUCACGAGGGUGCCCGGCGCGCCCUGUAAGGGUGGGCGCGCCCCUCACCCUCGUGGGCCCCUCGAGCAUCCACCGACCUACUUCUUCCUCCUAUAUAUAUCUACGUACCCCGAAACCAUCUAGAAGCACCACGAAAACCUAAUUCCACCGCCGCAACCUUCUGUAUCCGCGAGAUCCCAUCUUGGAGCCUUCGUCGACGCUCCGCCGGAGGGGGAAUCGACCACGGAGGGCCUCUACAUCAUCUCCAAGGCCUCUCCGAUGAGUUGUGAGUAGUUUACCAUAGACCUUCGGGUCCAUAGUUAUUAGCUAGAUGGCUUCUUCUCUCUCUUUGAUUCUCAAUACAAAGUUCUUCUUCCUCUUCUUGGAGAUCUAUUCGAUGUAACUCUUUUUGCGGUGUGUUUGUCAAGAUCCGAUGAAUUGUGGGUUUAUGAUCAAGUUUAUCUAUGAGAAAUAUUUGAAUCUCCUCUGAAUUCUUUUAUGUAUGAUUGGUUAUCUUUGCAAGUCUCUUCGAAUUAUCAGUUUGGUUUGGCCUACUAGAUUGAUCUUUGUUGCCAUGGGAGAAGUGCUUAGCUUUGGGUUCAAUCUUGCGUUGUCCUUUCCCAGUGGCAGCAGGGGCAGCAAGGCAUGUAUUGUAUUGUUGCCAUCGAGGAUAAAAAGAUGGGGUUUAUAUCAUAUUGCAUGAGUUUAUCCCUCUACAUCAUAUCAUCUUGCUUAAUGCGUUACUCUGUUCUUAUGAACUUAAUACUCUAGAUGCAGGCAGGAGUCAGUCGAUGUGUGGAGUAAUAGUAGUAGAUGCAGAAUCGUUUCGAUCUACUUGUUGCGGACGUGAUGCCUAUAUACAUGAUCAUGCGUAGAUAUUCUCAUAACUAUGCACUUUUCUAUCAAUUGCUCGACAAUAAUUUGUUCACCCACCGUAAUACUUAUGCUAUCUUGAGAGAAGCCACUAGUGAAACCUAUGGCCCCCGGGUCUAUCUUUUAUCAUAUAAGUUUUCCAUCUACUUUUAUUUGCAUCUUUUACUUUCCAAUCUAUAUCAUAAAAAUACCAAAAAUAUUUAUCUUAUCAUAUUAUCUCUAUCAGAUCUCACUUUUGCAAGUUUCCGUGAAGGGAUUGCCAACCCCUUUAUCGCGUUCGUUGUGAGGUUCUUGUUUGUUUGUGUAGGCGCGUGGGACUUGUGAGGAGCCUCCUACUGGAUUGAUACCUUGGUUAUCAAAACUGAGGGAAAUACUUACGCUACUUUGCUGCAUCACCCUUUCCUCUUUAAGGGAAAAACCAACGCAUGCUCAAGAGGUAGCAAUGGCAAGGCGGAAUAACAGCAAACCAGUGUCCACUUGUUUUAGGAGUAGUAACUACUCCCUCCGUUACAAAGUUGAGUCAUCUAUUUUGGAACGAAGGGAGUAGUAUCGAGUCAAUUGGGCAGCUUUGGUUGUGAGAACUGAAUUACGGAUGUUGCAGAUUUUGGCAAACUGAGAUCUAAGAGUGCUGGUGUUUUGUACUCUUCUGAACUAAACUCUACCAUGUUUGGCCAUUUGCAGUUCAAUGUUUUAGGAGUUUGUAUUACGGAAUUAUCUGCAAGUAGUUGUAUUAUUGUUACUGAUUGCUUUAUGUGAUUUAGUUUGUACUCUCUCCAUAAAGAAAUACAAGAGCAUUUAGAUCACUAUCUAAACACUCUUAUAUUUCUUUACAGAGGGAGUACUAACUAAUCUCUGCUACAUGAUUGUGCUUUCGUACCAAUCCAAGUUUCCAGAAUCCUGAUAUUCUACAUUAGGUGCAGAACUCUGUAGAACCCCUUUCGGCAGGUGGAAGAAUGACAACAUAUAUAAAACCAUGUUUCUUAGGACAGAAUUGAUUAAGAUCAAUCGCCCCCCGAAAGACAAGAGUUUGGCCUUCCAACUGGCUAAACGUUUGUCAAGUCUCUCUUGCACAUGCUUCCACUCAGCAAUAGUUAAACGCCGAUAGUGUAUGGGAAUACCCAGGUACCGAAUCGGAAACUGCCCGAGCUAGCAUCCAAAAAUCUCAGCAUACUCAGGUGCUGAUUCUGCAGCAUCGUUGUUGGGGAUAUUACCACUAGGCGUAAACCGGCCUACUUGGGCCGGGUUAAAUUCAUUAGUGGUAUAAGCAGAUGAAGGCCCAAGGCCUAUAGUCGGUUUAGAAUCUGUAGCCAGAAACUGACCUGAUGUAUAACUUGUAUUGUAAGUUAGGAAUAGAGAGAUACCAACCGGGAUACGAGUAUGAACCGGUUGGGACUCUAUGGACCGACGGGCGUCACCUGUGUAUAUAAGGGGACGACCCGGCGGCGGUUCAGGACAGAUAACCACAACUCGAGCCUAGGCGAAGCUUGUUUUGCUCCCUAGCCAUCGAGAUCACAUCAAUUCCAUCACAACUAGACAUAGGCUUUUACCUUCAUCGAAGGGGCCGAACUAGUAUAAACCCUCGUGUCUUUGUGUCCGCUUUAAACCCCUUCAAGUAAACCCGCAGCGAUGGCUCCACGACUAAGUCCUUUCACUAGGACGUCUGUCGUGACAAAUCCAUGAUAGUUGGCGCCCACCGUGGGGCCAUCGCACGAUGGUUUGACGAUCUUGGAGGGCAAGCUCAAAGGACUCGAAGGCUAUGCUGUGGGCCAGAUGACCAAGAGUCGUCGUGGCAAGAUCUACAUCGACGACGCAGGAUGGGGUCCCGAGGCCGAUUCGAUUGAGUACGGGUACCGGGUCCCCUUUGGUGGCAUACACGUUUUCAUCGGCAAGAUCGGUGAGCCGGGGCCUGAGCCGGACAUCUGCAUCGACCUCGUCGAGACGGCUCAGCGUGCGAGAUCUACCCAGGCUAAACCGGCCGUGAAGCGUGCCUUCGUUGGAGUCAUCCAUGGAGGAGGGCGUGAGGACGAGUCAGAACACGGUAGCAAGGCCGUCGUCUAUUCCGGCGACGAGUCCUCGACCGGAGAGACCGAAUCACUAUACCAGUUACAAGACGACCAGGUUAGGGGCUGUUCCGAUGGCGACAGUAUUCCGGACCCCCCAGGCCAGGUCAACCGGGUUGGAAUAUUCAUGGCCGGCACACAGGCGGCGAAUCACUCUUCGACCGCCGCGGCAAUGCUCUCCAGAUCAGCAGGAGCAGGAGGCCUUGUGCGCCCGCUGGUUCAAGUUCUAUCUGAUCUAUUUGAUACACUAGCCGCGCUCAUGGCAGAGGACAAUCCGGCGGAUCAGGAGGCCCAUAAUACAGAAAUUGCAAAGGUGAGAGAGCAGAUCGUGCAAGCCAAAGCGGGUCUGGCCGCAGAAAAAGACAGGAUGGCCGCAGAGCGGGCCGCUUUGGACGCCCAGGCUUAUAAGCUCAUGCUUGACCAGAACGCGUCACAGGAGGUCUUAAAGCGGAAGCACAGGUCACGCCUGCCGUUAGGGUUUGAUCCCCGGAAUCUCUUUCACACUCCAGGAGCUGGACCCAGUAAUCCGCCGCGACACCUGGAGACAAACCGGAUUGAGGCACCAGGACCAGGGGGGGCGGUCCAACCACGCCUGAUGGAACCUCCUCCGCAGAACAUUGUGAUUUUUCCGCCGGUCCAAACGCCCCCAGGUCAUUAUUCUAAUCCUAUGGACAACCUUGUUGCGGCCGCCGCACGAUUAGAGGCCAUCCCAGUCGAAGGGGACUCUCCGCAAGCGAUAGAGACGCGCCGGGUUAAAGAGCUUCUCCGGACCGUGCUGAUUCAGCAGGAAGCAUACUCGUACAGCCGUGAUCGGAUUCACUCUACGCCCCGUCCAAGCCGGAGCUAUAGCAGGCGCAUGGAUGAACCGACCAUAUCGAGCAAUGCGCGAGGCCGUGAAGCAGCCCAUGGCAAUAGCCCAGCAGGCGGUGUUCGCGAUGCUCAGGAUGUGGUGGACCGGGCCCGGGCACGGAGGGAAGCCGAGUUAGCAGCACAGGAUGAUGCGGAUCAACUUACACCGGUUCUCCCUACCACCUUCGCCGGACCAGGAGUCGCAUCUGCUUUGGGAGUGCCUUGUUUAAUCCCCGCUUUACGCAAUGUGCGCCUGCCCAAAGAUUUCAAGGGUCCACGCAAGGUGCCGAAUUACACUGCUGAUUUAUCCCCUGAAGCGUGGAUAGAGAGUUAUGAGAUGGCCAUGGAGAUGUUAGACGUGGAUGAGACCGCGUGUGCAAAAUACUUCACCAUGAUGCUUGAAGGCAUGGCGCGUACCUGGUUGAAGAGCCUACUGCCUAAUUCUGUCAGCUCAUGGGCCCAGUUGCGGGCCCGGUUUAUCCAGAAUUUCAAGGAUACGUGUAAACAGCCCAAAUCCAUAGUAGACCUGGCGGCUUGUGUCCAAGGGGAAGGAGAAUCAACGACCCAUUGGGUGCGCCGCGUUUCGGAAAUUUUGCACUCGUCCGACAGAAUUAAUGCUGACUCUGCGAUCUUAACCCUGGAAGGCAACUGCCGGUUUGAGCCUUUAAAAUUGAAAUUGGGACGCAUGAAGCGGUUCUGUAAUGACAUGGGAACCCUCAUGGCCGCUCUAGUGAAGUAUGUUGAUUCGGACAGUACCAAGGAUCCCGAGACUGAUGAUGAUGAAGCAGGGAAGGGAAGGAAGAAUAGCAACUCCAAACAGCAGCAGUAUAAACCGGCGGGUCAUGGAAACGGAGGCAAGCGCAAGGCGGAUGGCAGCAUGGACUUUGUGGCCAACACUAAUGCACAGGACAGGGGGCAGCGGCGUAGAGGUAAAGCGGCAAAUCGUAAUGGGGCUCCCAAUCCUAACGCAAGCCGCUUGAGUUAUUUGAUGAAUCAGCCUUGCCCGAAGCACGGGACGAAGGAGGCACCGGCUAACCAUCUUUGGAAGGAUUGUUACAUCAUGCAGGAGUUUAAAAACUCUAAUGCCUUCCGGUAUGAUCACGGGUCAGGUGGCGGUUCAGGAUCCAGUUUUCGUGGGCCGGAUCACGAUGGAGCUUCCGGUUCAGGUCGCAAUCAGGGCGGUCACAAUCACCAGAAUUAUCAGAACGGCCAGCAGCAGCAGCAGCAGUCGGGUUAUCAGAGCCAGCCAAAACAGUUGAACAAUGGGCAAUAUCAUGUUUUCACAACUAGCUUGGAUAAACGCGACCGAAAACUCCACAAGCGAGCGGUGAAUUCUGCUGAACCGGCCUUACCACGUAACUUGCGCUGGUCGGAACAGCCUAUCGUGUGGAGCAGAGAGGAUCACCCGCCCCGGGUUGAUAAUCCGGGCCAGCUAGCAUUAGUGGUGGACCCUCAGGUGGGGGGUUAUAAAUUCACCAAGGUACUCAUGGAUGGAGGAAGCAGUAUUAACAUACUAUACUAUGAGACAUUCCGUCGCAUGGGUUUAACAGACAAAGAUCUCAGACCAUCUAAUACGGUGUUCCAUGGUGUGGUGCCUGGCAAAUCUGCAUAUCCUGUUGGUAAGAUAGCCCUGGACGUGGCUUUUGGGGACGAGCACGACUCCCGGUCGGAAAAACUAACAUUGGAGGUGGUGAAGAUCCGGAGCCCAUAUCAUGCCUUGUUUGGUCGGCCGGCUUACGCCAAGUUCAUGGCGCGGCCUUGUUAUAUCUACUUGCAGCUCAAAAUGCCGGGUUACAAGGGGACAAUAACGGUUCAUGGGAGCCAUAGGGUCGCUUUGGAAUGUGAGGAAGGUGAUGCGGCUUAUGCAGAGUCGGUCUGUGCCACGGAGGAGUUGAAGUAUUAUAAGGACAAUGUUGAUCCAGCGGAUAUGACUCCUUUGAAGAAGCCAACUACAGAGCAUGAUUCGGAUCUAAAGUUCAAAUCGGCAGCUGAGACCAAGCUUGUUGACUUCGUGCCCGGCGAUUCAUCCAAGCAGUUCACUGUCAGUGCCAUUUUGGAUCCCAAAUAGGAAAGCGCGCUCAUCGAGUUCAUCCGUGAGAAUCGGGACAUCUUCGCAUGGAAGCCAUCCGACAUGCCAGGUGUACCGAGGGAACUCGCUGAGCACACUCUUAAUGUGGAUCCUAGGUAUAAACCGGUGAAGCAAUUCCUACGCCGGUUUAACGAAGAAAGGCGAAAGGCCAUUGGAGAGGAAGUGGCCAGGCUUUUGGCAGCUGGCUUUAUCAUUGAGGUGUUCCAUCCAGAGUGGCUUGCUAAUCCGGUGCUGGUUCUUAAGAAAAAUGGCACUUGGCGUAUGUGUGUGGAUUACACAAAUCUUAACAGGGCCUGUCCAGCGGAUCCUUUUGCCCUCCCCCGCAUUGACCAGAUCAUUGAUGCCACGGCGGGUUGUGAGCGUUUGAGUUUUUUGGAUGCAUACUCUGGAUAUCAUCAGAUCAAAAUGGCGGUUAAGGACCAGGAGAAAACAGCGUUUAUUACUCCCUUUGGAGCCUUCUGCUAUGUAUCUAUGCCCUUCGGACUCAAGAGUGCCCAAGCCAUCUAUCAACGGUGUGUACAGAACUGCCUGCAUAAGCAGAUCGGCCGCAAUGUGCACGCCUAUGUGGAUGAUAUUGUAGUGAAAUCAAGGCAGAAGGAGACGCUGGUGGAUGACUUGAAGGAAACCUUUGACAACUUGCGGGUUUACAAGAUGAUGCUUAAUCCGGCCAAGUGUGUCUUUGGUGUUCCAGCAGGCAAGUUACUAGGUUUCCUGGUGUCUAAUAGAGGAAUUGAGGCUAAUCCGGAGAAGAUUACAGCUAUCACCUCCCUGGCUAAACCGAAGUGCAUCAAUGAUGUUCAGCGCUUGGCGGGCCGAAUCGCCGCACUAAGCCGGUUUAUCAGCCGCCUCGGAGAAAAGGCCAUUCCUUUGUACCAAAUGCUGAGGAAGACAGACCAUUUCAUUUGGAGUCCGGCUGCUGACGAAGCAUUUGAGGACUUGAAGCGGCAGUUAGCCAAUCCGCCUGUCCUUGCAGCUCCGGUCGACAAGGAGCCACUAUUAUUAUACGUAGCAGCCAAUGCUCGGGCAGUUAGCGUGGCUAUUGUGGUGGAACGCAAGGAGGCAGGCAAGGAGUAUCCGGUUCAGCGGCCGGUUUAUUAUAUCAGCGAAGUGCUUAUUGAAUCCAAGCAAAGGUAUCCGCAUUGGCAGAAGCUGGUAUAUGGUGUUUUCAUGGCCAGUCGGAAGUUGAAGCAGUAUUUUCAAGGGCACCCCAUCACAGUGGUCAGUUCAGCUCCCUUGGGUGACAUCAUACAGAACCGGGAGGCGACUGGCCGGAUUGCCAAGUGGGCUAUAGAGCUUGGGCCACACGGACUGAAGUAUGUACCUCGGACGGCGGUGAAGUCUCAAGCACUUGUUGAUUUCAUCAAUGAUUGGACGGAGUUACAAGCACCAGAGGAGAAGCCGGAUCACACAUUGGACUAUUCAUUUUGAUGGAUCCAGGCAAUUGGAAGGCUCGGGGGCUGGAGUCGUAUUAACUUCCCCACGAGGUGAUAAGUUUUGUUAUGUUCUCCGCUUAAUGUUCCCUUGUACUAAUAAUGCAGCUGAGUACGAAGCCUUGCUCCAUGGUCUCCGGAUGGCUAAAGAGAUGAACUUAAGCCGGGUUAAGUGCUUCGGUGACUCGGACCUCGUGGCCCAACAGGUGUCUGGCACUUGGGAUUCUAAGGACCCGCUCAUGGCUGCAUAUCGUCGGGAGGUGGAUAAUAUUGCGGGUUGUUUCAAGGGUUAUCAAGUGGAUCAUGUGGACCAUCGGAAGAAUGAAGCGGCGGACGCUUUAAGCCGGUUGGGUUCUCAGCGCAAACCGGUCCCGCCUAAUGUCUUUCUGGACGUGUUGCACAACCCGUCAGUCCAGCUCCCAGGUGAAGCGGAUUUGGCCAUUCCUGAUCCGGAGGCUCAAUUGGUGGCAGCACUGCAUGCUAUUCCGGACUGAACGGUUCCUUAUCUUACGUACAUGAACCGGGGGGAGUUACCAGAGGAUGAGAUUCUAGCCAGGCAGAUAGUCCGGCGAUCCAAGUCUAUGACGAUUGUUAAUGGUGAAUUGCAUCAUUGCAGUGUAUCAGGGGCGUUUCAACGUUGUGUUUCUCCUGAGGAAGGCUGUGAAAUAUUAAGAGAAAUCCAUGAAGGAGAUUGUGGACAUCACGCCGGUUCAAAGUCUCUGGUAGCAAAGGCAUUUCGUCACGGGUUCUACUGGUUGACAGCGCAUGCUGACACGGAGGACUUGGUUAAACGGUGUGAUGGAUGUCAGAAAUUUUCAAGGCGUGCUCAUGUGCCGGCUCAAGAAUUGAGGAUGAUCCCAAUAACGUGGCCGUUUGCAACUUGGGGUUGGAUAUGGUCGGACCUUUUAAAAGAUCCAAGGAUAAGAAAACCCACCUUUUGGUGGCAGUUGAUAAAUUUACCAAGUGGGUUGAAGCGGAGCCUGUCAGCAAGUAUGAUGCAGAAACAGCAGUGCAGUUCAUCAAAAAGGUGAUUUUCCGGUUUGGUUUUCCACAUAGUAUCAUUACUGACAAUGGUACUAAUUUAUCCAAGGGCGCUAUGAAGGAGUUCUGUGAACGUGAGCACAUCCGACUUGACGUGUCGUCAGUGGCACACCCCCAGUCCAAUGGACAGGCAGAACGAGCUAAUCAGGAAAUCUUGCGAGGCAUCAAACCCCGGCUUAUGGUCCCAUUGCAAAGAACGCCAGGAUGUUGGGUUGACGAGCUACCAUCUAUGUUAUGGAGUAUCAAUACUACGCCAAACCGGUCCACAUGAUACACACCAUUUUUCAUGGUCUAUGGAGCAGAGGCAGUUCUCCCUAGUGAUAUCCGACACGAUUCGCCUCGUGUGGCAGCUUAUGUUGAAGCGGACAAUGAGACAGCACGGCAAGACGCUUUGGACCUAUUGGACGAGGAGCGUGAUAUAGCGGCUGCCCGUUCGGUGAUUUACCAGCAAGAUCUUCGUCGCUAUCACAGUCGCCGGGUUAGAACCAGAACUUUUCAAGAAGGAGAUUUGGUGCUUUGACUCAUCCAAGAUCAGACGGAUAUGCACAAGUUAUCCCCACCUUGGGAGGGACCUUUUGUGGUCAGCAAGAAUUUGCACAACGGGUCAUACUAUCUGAUUGAUAUUCGAGAGCAUAAAGACUCACGUACAUCAGAGGAGGAGACCAACAGGCCGUGGAAUAUAGCUCAUCUUCGGCCUUACUACACUUGAGCCAUCGGCUCUAUCUAUGUACAUAUCAUGACAGUGUAUAUAUUAUCUUUGAUAUAAUAAAACCGGAGCCUCAGCUAAAGCGGGGUCUCUGUCUUUCUUAUCAUGCGUGGUUACCUGGAGUGGUUCUGUUUUUAAAGCGGCCUCCGGUUUUCCCCUUGACAUUUGCUUUUUAUAUAUCACUUGGGGCCUUGGUCGUAUCCGAACCAACGCGACACCUUUUGAUAGGCGACAGCCACCAGAUCACUUGGGGACAUGGUCACGUCUGAACCAGUCACGCCUCUUGAUCGGCCUAAGGCCACAAAAUCACUUGGGGGCUUGGUCGAACCCGAACCAUUGCCACGCCUCUUGAUCUGGCAUAUAUGCCACGAAUCAUUUGGGGACCUAGCUAACUUGAAUCAUUGUCACUCCUAUUGGGGGCUUGGUCCUGUCUGACCAUGGUAACACCAUCUGAUCAGCUCAGUAUAGCAUAUUUUUUGCAAAUGGUUUUUAUCAUUGCCUUUGCUUCUAUGUUAUUUUCAUGGUUUGUUUGUUCUUUGUUUUUUGUUGGAUUUCUUUUAUGUCAACAAACACCCUUUUUCCGGUUCAGCUGAUGGAUUUGAUUCCUCUUUAAACCGGAAAAGUAUGCCUGGUUUACCUUUCUUUUACGGGAGCUGUUUUCUCCCCCCUUAUUGACGGUAAUGGUUUAUAAAACCUCCGCUUCAAGCUUGGCUAAGCCAGCUUCAUGCCCAGACAUGGCAGUUCAAAUUUUUCUGAUUGCAGGAAAUAUGAAUUGAAGUUUUUCGAACAAAAGCUUCAGUACUUAUGGGCGAAGGCAUAUUCAAGGCAGAAGUAUUAAUUAUCCUAUUACAAGGCAGCACGGUGCCCAAAUAAGAUCAUUUUUCUUUUGGAAAGAUGCCAAAGAUAGCUAUCCAAACCGGCUUCCGGUUCAAGCCUGCUCCUCAUCAUCCGCUACUUCAGCUUCCUCGUCUCUACCCAUUGGCUGGAAAUCAACAGUGGUCCAGUCGAUUCCCAUUAAAGCUUGGAAAACAGCCUCUUCAUGGAUUAGGGAAGACGGUUCAAUAUCAGGAGCGUAAGUGUGCUUACGGAUUGGCGGGAUCAGAUUCUCCGCUUCAAGAGUUGGGGCAGGCACUCGCUUAUUCUGGUCAUUAUAUUGUGCUUGAUAAUGCGUUAGGUCUGCCUCUUCAGCUAGCUGACAAGCCAGAGGGCGCACUGCACGGUUUAUUGCCCUUAAAUCCUCUUCGUUAAAUUCAGAGCCAUCUUCCUUCAGGCUAGGAUAGCCUUGAGAUGCUUCCACAGGGUCGAAAUCUGGCACCCAUGCCUUUGCCCGGAUCAAGGCGUUAAUAGCUCAGGUUCAGGCAGCAGAUUUCUUCAGUUCCUCCAUCCGGGCCGGAAGCAUCGACAACCUGUUAAUAGUGUCCUGGAUUAAAGAAGGUGUCGGGUUGUUAUGAGAGGCUGUGGUGAUGAUCCGCUGGGCUCCGGUAUAUAAUUGUUCCACUAAGGUGUAGGCAGCUUUCAGUUUCUUCCGCACAUCAUUUCCUAAGUGCCCAAUGCGUGUUCCUGCAACAAUACAUGGACGGUCUCACACCGGAUUUGCAUUACAGCAGGUUCAAAGUAUCACAGAAGUUAAAAGGAGCUUACCAAAGAUUGCAGCGGUCAUGGAGUGUAUUUGCUGUUUCACAGCCGUAAGUUCAUCCACCACCGGUUUAAGGGCAGCUUUAGCAUUUUCCGCUCUUUUGGUUAAAGCGGCCUUCUCAGUGGCCCAAUCAUCCCGCUCUUUCUUGAAGCCCUUUUUCAGCUGUUCAGCGGUGCUCAAGGCGCUGGUUAGUUCUUCCUUUGCCUUGUCUGUUUCAGCAUGUUGGGUUUUCAAGGCCUCCUGCAAAUCGGCAAUCCGGUCCUCUUUGAUUCUCACCUCAGCCUGCAUACAGACAUCAUUUAGCUUUCAACAAACGGUCCAAAGAAAUUGAAGUAUCAACCACAUAAACAAAGUUAUACGCCUGAUACUUGGGGGCUAAUGCACCUUCAAUUUUCAUCAAGUCAUUAGAUUGCAAAGUCCCAAGCUCAAUACAGGUAUUCAACUUGGCACUUGGGGGCUAAUGCACCUUCAAUUUUCAUCAAGUAUUAGAUUGCGAAGUCCCAAGUUCAAUACAUGUACUCAACUCGGCACUUGGGGGCUAAUGGCUAUUUUAUCAAAUUAUGUUCUAAGGAUAGUUUUUCUGUCCGAGCCCCGGGUUAAUUCUGCUAAGCUACAAACCGACCCUUGGGGGCUAGGAGGAUUGGUGCAAAGGCAGGCAGUAAAGAAGUAAGUUACCUCAAAUUUAUCCCUCAUCAUUUUUACCAGACCAGCUUCACAGUCACGGCUAGUAUAAAGCCGGUUUAGAUAGCCGGAAUGAAGAUAUUGGGCGCUCAGAGCAGCAUAUGUCUCCAGUUCAACAUCCCAUUUUUCUUUAUUCAGAGCGGAAAAAUCCUCUUUUAUGGUAUGCUUGGUUAAGGUGACAGGAUUCCCGGGUUCAGAGCGGCCUACACCGGUAAUCACAACAUCAUCAUCUUUGGACUCGACGGUUUGUGUUAGUGUGAUCGGUUUGUCAACAGGACUGUGGGAUUUAUCAAUCCGGACGGAGCUGACAGGCGGAUCAGCAGAGACUGAAGUAUUAAUAGGCCUCUCUUCGGGAAUAGCAUCGUCUUGUAAAGGAGGAUCAUUGGGAAUAUCCUCAGGAGCAAAUGCCUCAAGAUCUGGCAUUUUGUCAUGUUCUUGGGCUACAUCCUCUUCGGCCGCUUUAUCCAGGCGGGCUUUCUUGCUUGGUUUAGGUUUGGCCCUAAAAGAAAACCAAAGAGUCAAGGAAAAGCAUAAGCCCUUACACAAUGUAUUGGAAGCAUAUGUUCAGCUUAACUUACCCAAGAACCGUUUUUAACGGUGGCAGCUGAGUGGCCGACGAUUCACCAGAAGAUGAAUGAGAAGUAACCUGAUAAUUGGAGUCGGAUGGGUUAAGAGGUUGACGGAAGAAACCCGCUUUAGGAUGUAAAUCAACAAAAAGGUCAGAGACCUCGGAGCGGCGUUUUCGAACCGGACUGUUUGGUAAACCGGUGGAGGUAACUACCUGGCCACUGUGCCGGGUUGUGCAGCGAACUUCAUGUUGCUGCAUCUUCAUAUGAAAUUUAGGAUCCAAAUAAGCAAGAGGAUGAGAAAAUUUAACUUUCCGGUUUGCCUGUCGAGGUUUUGGCAAAGGUAAGAUUUCUGAAUCGGAAGAGAGAAUAGUUACCUCAACAAAUUCCGCAUUGCUGGCUUCAGCGUCAUCCUGACAAGCAUCAUCAUCAAUAAGGCGUGUAAAAAAUAAGCCAAGCGAGUCAAGUUCUACCUCAAGGUCCGGGUUACCCACAUCAUCAUCAAUAGCUGGGUCAGAUGAAGCGGUGGUUUUUCUCUUAUGAGCUGGCUUCUUAAUAACCUUGGUCUUGGGGCGGAUUGGCCGCCCUGUUUUCUCCGUUUUGUCUUGAGGAAGUUUCUUGCUCCAAAACGGAUUAUCGCCUUGGAUCAGCAGUAAUUAAAUGUCAAACAUAUAAAGCAGUAACCGGUUCAACAAUAGAGCAGUUAAAAUAUUACCGCUGGCGGUUUGUUGGUGGUGCAGUAAGGAGGCAGACCGGUUUGAGCACAGAGGUGCUCCGGUUCAUUCAGCAUCUUUUUCACAGAUUCUGUGACUUCGUCAUCGGGGAGUUGGAUUUUAGUGUGUCGGAGUGGGUCAUCGACACUAUCAGUAUACUUGCACAUCAAAUUGGAGCGCCGGCUCAGAGGCAGUAUGCUCCAUGAUAUCCAACAGCGUGCAAGAUCUAUUCCCGUUAAGCCGUUGGCCAUAAAAGCUCAGAGCUUGGACAGUUGCGGAGCGUAUUUAAUUCUUUCCUUGGCGCUUAGUCUUUGUGGAAAAGGGUGCGUGUUGCUGAGCCGUUCCGGACGGAAGCCAGGCAAGGGAUUUUCAUUGUCAGGGGAGGUAUCCUUGCAAUAAAACCAAGUUGCAUUCCACUCCUUGGGGUGAGUAUGGAGUUUAACAUGGGGAUAAGUGAUUUCCUUCCUCUUCUGAAUGGCCAUACCGCCCAGUUCAGUGUUGGGGCCAUCGGUGAAUUCAGUGCGACGGUUUAAAUGAAAGAGGUCUCUAAACAAUUCGACUGAAGGCUCCUCUUGAAAGUAUACCUCAGAGAGCACUUGAAAGUGGCAUAGAUUGGUAACAGAGUUGGGGACAAUAUCAUGUGGACGGAGCUGAAAAUUGGCUAACACAUCCCGGUAAAAUUUAGAGCCGGGCGGUUUGAAGCCCCGGGCCAAGUGAUCUACAAAGACCACAACCUCUCCUUCCUGGGGGGUAGGUGGACAUUCAUUUCCAGGAACCCUCCAGUGGAUUGUAUCUUUACUGUCUAAAGCGCCGAUCAAGACUAGAUCGUCCAACUGUGAUUCCGUGACGCGAGAAGGAACCCAAUUGCACUCAUACACUUGUUUGGCCAUGGCGAGAUCUACAAGAAAUAGAUGAUCCGGUUCAAGAACACGCUGGGUAAAAGAAGGUAUUGAUCUAAACUACGAUAAACCGGUCUUCCACAAUGCGGCAUCAUGUGGAUUCUGGCGGUUCAACCAGGGGACUAAUGGUAUACACCGGUUUAGUAACUUUUUUCUAUGAUAAGUUAAACCGCCUGACCUAAGCGUCGGAAGAAAUUGAAGCUAUGGACAACUAGGUAUACAGAAACAGGUUUCACAAGAUUUCAUUACAGCCAUGGAUCUACAGCGAGCUCACAAAACAGAAAAUAUUCUGAAGAGUAAGGCGGAACGGAAGUGAACCAUUGAGCGGGUAUGUGCGUGAGAUCUAUGGGCUUAGAUAAGAAAUAACAGGAGGAUGCUUAAAGAUUACUACUGAACACAGCGGGAAUUUACAGAUUCAUCCAAGAGUCGGAAUACAAGUAUGAGCAAGUGACGAACACAGCACGAACAUGGAACCCUAAGAACAGAUCUAGGUCAAUAAGAGGAGAAAGCUUACUGGGAACGGAGAAGAUGCGGAACGAUACCGCAGUACUCUGGAACGCUCAGGUUGAUGCAGCGGCCCAAGACGAAGCAGAGGUCGAUGGUGGCGGCGGAGCUCCAAGGCUGGCGAUGCGAGGAAGACGAAGAAGAAGAGAUCAGGGGAAAAGAAAGGAGAUGACCAUUCGGUCUUAUUUAUAAGGCAACGGAGUUAGGUCAAGCGCGCGGAUCCAGGAGGCGUUAUAAAUGACAAAUUUCAUGAUGACGUCAUGCCGGUUUACAACAACCAGAAAUGAUGACAUCAUGCUGGUUUACCAAUUACCAGAAGAUGUCCAAGACACAAGAUUUUGUGAAGGAUUGACAUGAACCAGUUCAAAUCAAUCUGGGGCCUAAUGUUGGGGAUAUUACCACUAGGCGUAAACCGGCCUACUUGGGCCGGGUUAACUUCGUUAGUGGUAUAAGCAGAUGAAGGCCCAAGGCCUAUAGUCGGUUUAGAAUCUGUAGCCAGAAACUGACCUGAUGUAUAACUUGUAUUGUAAGUUAGGAAUAGAGAGAUACCAACCGGGAUACGAGUAUGAACCGGUUGGGACUCUAUGGACCGACGGGCGUCACCCGUGUAUAUAAGGGGACGACCCGGCGGCGGUUCAGGACAGAUAACCACAACUCGAGCCUAGGCGAAGCUUGUUUUGCUCCCUAGCCAUCGAGAUCACAUCAAUUCCAUCACAACUAGACGUAGGCUUUUACCUUCAUCGAAGGGGCCGAACUAGUAUAAACCCUCGUGUCUUUGUGUCCGCUUUAAACCCCUUCAAGUAAACCCGCAGCGAUGGCACCACGACUAAGUCCUUUCACUAGGACGUCUGCCAUGACAAAUCCACGACAAUCGCCAAAAUAAAAAAAUCGCUCUUAUGAAAAUUAAUUUUGAGGCCAGAAAGUUCCUCAAAAGCACAUAAGAGCAGCUUGAGAUUUCUUGCCUUAUCUAGAUCAUGAUCCAUGAAGUAUCAUGUCAUCCUCAUAUUGUAGAAUGGAUAGACCAUCUUCUACCAAGUGUGGAAUGACCCCACUAAUUUGACCAUCCAGCUUAGCCCGCUCAACAAGGGUAGCUAGCAUGUCGGCCACAAUGUUAAACAUAAUAGGAGAUGCAGGGUCGCCUUGACAAAGCCCCUUCCUUGUCUGAAAAUAGUUGUCAACGUCAUCGUUAACUUUUAUGGCCACACUACCUCCAGAGACAAAGCUCUCUACCCAACGACACCAUUUUUGUUAAAACACCUUCAUGCGCAAGGUUUGCAACAGGAAGGGCCACUUAACUUUAUCGUAGGCUUUCUCAAAAUCAAUUUUAAGAAUGACACCGUUCAAAUUUUUCUGGUGCAGUUCAUGUACAGUUUCGUGCAGGAUGACAACUCCAUCUAAUAUGUUGCAGCCUUGCAUAAAUGUUGUUUGAGUGGGUUUACGACAUGAUCAGCUAUACCAUUCAACCGAUUAGUCGCUACCUUCAUAAAAAAUUUAAAACUUACAUUCAUAAGGCAAAUCGGUCGAUAUUGUUGAAUACGACUAGCCUCCUUAAUCUUAGGCAAUAGGAUAAUUUCCCCAAAGUUUAAACGAGAAAUAUCAAGGUCCUCGGAAUGCAGUUGAUUAAACAACUGAACCAAGUCUGCCUUAAUCGCGUCCCAAAAGCAUUGAUAGAACUCUGCGGGAAAGCCAUCCGGUCCCGGUGCCUUCUUGUGUUCCAUCUGAAACACCGCAGUUCGAAUUUCCUCCUUAGAAAACGGAGAGGUUAGGAAUUCAUUUUCCGCUUCCGUAACUUGAGUAAUGUCAUGAGUAACGGAUUCGUCUAGCUGAAAAUUAGUUUCAGCUGAAGUCCCAAAAAGGUAUUUAUAAAACUUAGUGAUGAAAUUUCUAAGUGGUACGUCCCCCUCUAUUCGGCCUUCCUCCUCGUCAAGGGCGAAUAACGCUUCUUUCUAUGUCUGCCAUUGGCUAGCAUUUGAAAGUAUUUCGUAUUAUCAUCACCUUGCACCAGCGAAUCCGCCUUGCUAUGUUGGUAUGAUAACCCACAAGUAUAGGGGAUCAAUUGUAGCAUCUUUCGAUAAGUAAGAGUGUCGAACCCAAUGAGGAGCUAAAGGUAGAACAAAUAUUCCCUCAAGUUCUAUCGACCAUCGAUACAACUCUACGCACGCUUGAUGUUCGCUUUACCUAGAACAAGUAUGAAACUAGAAGUACUUUGUAGGUGUUGUUGGAUAGAAUUGCAAGAUAAUAAAAUGCACGUAAAUAAAAAGUAGGGGCUGUUUAGAUAAAGAAACAAUAAAGUAAAUAUAGCGACUGUGGAAAAGUGGUGGUAGGAGUUGUGAAAUUCUCCCUAAGCAAUUGACUACUUUACUAGACCGAUAGCAAGUUUUAUGUGGGAGAGGCAUAAGCUAACAUACUUUCUCUUCUUGGAUCAUAUGCACUUAUGAUUGGAACUCUAGCAAGCAUCCACAACUAUUAAAGAUCAUUAAGGAAAAACCCAACCAUAGCAUUAAAGUAUCAAGUCCCCUUUAUCCCAUACGCCGCAACCCCCUUACUCGGGUUUAUGCUUCUGUCACUCAAGCAACCCACUAUAAGCGAAUCAUGAACGUAUUGCAACACCCUACAACGGGAAUCCCUCACGCUUGCGUGACACGGAGGGCACAAUAGGACAGCAACAUAACCACAAGCAAAUUAAACCAAUCAUAGCAAUUCAUCAAUCACCGGUAGGACAACGAAAAUCUACUCAGACAUCAUAGGAUGGCAACACAUCAUUGGAUAAUAAUAUGAAGCAUAAAGCACCAUGUUCAAGUAGAGGGUUCAGCGGGUUGCAGGACAGUGGACCGCUGAAUAUAGAUGGGGGAAGGUGAUGGAGAUGUUGGUGAAGAUGAUGGAGGUGUUGGUGUAGAUCGCGGUGAUGAUGAUGGCCCCCGGCGGUGUUCCGGCGCCAUCGGAAGCGAGGGGGGGAGAGCCCCCCUUCUUCUUCUUCUUCCUUGACCUUCUUCCUAGAUGGGAGAAGGGUUUCCCCUCUGGUCCAUGGUCUCCAUGGCGUGGGAGGGGCGAGAGCCCCUCCGAGAUUGGAUCUGUCUCUCUGUCUCUCUCUGUUUCUGCGUUCCCAGAUUCUGCCCUUUCACCGUUUCUUUUAUAUCCAGAGAUCCGUAACUUCAAUUGAAUUGAAACCUUCGCCCAGAUUUUUCUCCGAAAAUUAGCUUCCUUGCGGCAAAAGAAGAGCGUCAACCGCCUUACAGGGUGCCCACGAGGGUCAGGGGCACGCCCCCUGCCUCGUGGCCCCCCUCGGGCACCAUCUCGCGUUGGUUUUUCUUCCCAAAAAUCAUAAAUAUGUCAAAAAUGAUAUCCGUCUGUUUUUAUCCCGUUUGGACUCCGUUUGAUAUGGGGUUUAUGCGAAACAUAAAACAUGCAACAAACAGGAACUGGCACUAGGCACUGGAUCAAUAUGUUAGUCCCAAAAAUAGUAUAAAAAGUUGCCAAAAGUAUAUGAAAGUUGAAUAAUAUUGGCAUGGAACAAUCAAAAAUUAUAGAUACGACGGAGACGUAUCAUGGUACCAUUUAAUCUCUUCCUCACAUAGUAGGCGGGCAAUCUGCUCGUUAAGAUUGCUUUUUUUCUCAAUCUCAACAGCAUACAGAGGCCUCACCUCCGCUAUUUUAUCAAGGGAAUCAAUUAAAGGUAGACAAUCACUGUUUUUCUUUUUUGUAGAUGCGGCAGUAUGCUUGGCCCAUCCUCGAAGGAAUCAACGCAAGGCGCAGAUUUGUAGACUACUUUAGAUCCAGAUUUUUUGGCAGUGUGAUAAUGAAACCAAGAAAUAUAGACCGACUAGGUGGAGCGUAUUAUGCAGACCUAAAAGUCAAGGGGGUCUGGGAAUCCAAGACCUUGAGAUUAAAAACAUUACUCUUCUCAGCAAGUGGGUUAAUAAACUACUCACUGAGAAUGGAGUAUGGAAGGAAAUCAUUCGCAACAAGUAUGUGGGAUCCAAUGCCAUUUCUCAAAUUCAUUGGAAACCUGGGGAUUUACAUUUUUGAGUGGUGUCAUGAAGGCCAAGGAGCUCUUCUUCCAAUUUGGGACCUUCUCGGUUAUGGACGGUUCUCAGGUUCGUUUCUAAGAAAAUACCUGGCUAGGGAACAACUCACUAAUGGUGCAAUAUCCGAGCUUGUACCGAAUUGUCAGACAUAAAUUUGUCACGAUCAAACAAGUCUUAGGACAAGAAAUCCCUGAUAUUUCUUUUGGUAGGGAUCUUUUGGGCACUCGCCUGGCAGCAUGGAAUGAAUUACUCACUCGCCUGGAGGACAUUCAACUAUCAGAUGAGCCAGACACUUCUCGAUGGAACUUGCAUCAGAAUGGCAAAUUUUCGGUCAAAUCCAUGUAUGAUGCAAUGGUUCAUUAUGAUGUUCCAGUAGAUAACAGGAAAUUGUGGAAGCUAAAAAUUCCUCUAAGAGUGAAGAUUUUCGUCUGGUUUCUAAACAAAGGAGUCAUCCUAACUAGAGAUAAUCUGGCACGACAAAACUGGCAUGAUUCCAAGACAUGUGUCUUUUGCCAACAUGACGAGUCUAUCAAACACUUAUUUUUUGAGUGCAAGUUUGCUCGGGCAGUUUGGGCCAUGGUCCAAGUAGCUUCGAAUUUAUACCCACCACGUAGUGCACGGAAUAUUUUCGGCAACUGGUUGCGGGGUAUUGAUAAACAAUUUUCUGCACAUAUUCUUGUGGGAGCGGCGGCCUUAUGCUGGGCAAUGUGGCUUACUAGGAAUGAUGUGGUUUUUAACAAUAAAUGUGUCUCAUCUCCUAUGCAGGUUAUUCAUGUUUGUACAGGAUGGCUCCGUACUUGGUCUAUCCUGUAGAAGCCGGAGGACAGGGACCUUUUUAUGAUGGCGUCUACACGGCUGGAGCGUACGGUCAGGGAGGUUUUCUACCCCCGUAGAUGGCGGUGUGAUUUACGGAUAGGAUCUACCACUCCUUAGGAUGGACACGAUUUAUUGCUUGGCAUUGUAUCGAAUAUUUUAUUUUUAGGGUGCUCUGGACUUUUUGGCUAUGUGCAUCUAGCUAUGCAGAGGCCGGGCUUUCUUUCGAUACGAUUGUAUCACCUCGAUAUAUCUAUUCAAUGAAAAGUCCUUUGUCGAAAAAAGGUGCAUAACUCUAUUCCCUGUGAUUAUUGUCAAUAAGAGCAACCCAAUGGUUUGCCUUGCCAUGUCCUGUUCUUGUUUUGAAAGUAGUCUGCUUUGCUUAUCCAGUAUCACCAGUUAACUGGUUAGCCUGGAGCAGCUUGGUGUUGUACAUGAUGGUCUUACUGUGAAAAUGCCAAGUGUGAGAACAUUAGACUAGCUGUCCAUUUCUUGCCGGAGAUCAUGCAUUCAGGGAUGGAUCCCCUCCCUUCCUCCUCCCUCUCCUCCUCCUCCCCCUCGUCCCCUCCUCGCCCUGGGCGUCUCGCUCCCCGCUCUGUUCUGCGGGCCGGUGCUCGGCCGUCCUCUUCUCCGUGUGCAGGUGCUCCCCCUCCCCUCUCCCCGGUCUCCCCGCAGGUGGGGCUCUCCCCUCCUUCUUCUCCGCUUCCGGUGCUUGGGUCUCGCUUUUGGGCCCUUGCAUCCGAUGUGGAGGAGUCGCGGUCGUCCGCCUCCUCCCCUUGUGGUCCCGUGCCCUGUGCUGGGGGGGCGGUGGUGUCCUGUGCCGCUCCUCGCCUCCGCAAGUUCGCCCCGGGUGGCCGGGGCCGGCCGGUGGCUGCGCCUUCUUCGGGCGAUGGCUGGAUCCGAAUCUCGCGGCGGCGGCGCAAGUCUAGUAAGUUUGUUGUUGCGUCUCCUGAUCCCGGUGUCUUGGGCAGUGCGCCAGAUGGGGAGCUUGGAGGCCUCCCAUCUCCUUCUCCGACUUCCUCUCUGGCGGCCUCGUCGCCGGUGGUGUCGACGGCGGGGCCGUUGGUGGCAUCGUGUAACCUAAACCUAGAUCUCGAUUUCUCCGUGGUGGCCAUCGGGCCGCGGGCCGCUUCCUCAUGUGGGCUUGCUGGGCCUUGCGGUUUGGCGUUGCCCAGUGGGCCUACCUCUCCUCCCCUCCUCUCGUCUGUGGUCGACUUUCCCCCUCUUGUCUCGUCUGGCCCAGUCGGGCCCACCGGUCGGGUUCCUGCUCCUCAACCUCUUGUGGCCCAUCUGGUGAGUCGGGCCCAGGUGGGCACGGCUCGGACGGGAUAUUUAUGGAUCCCCCGCGGCUCAGUCUCCCCCCUGCUAGGGUUUCUGGCUUCCUCUUCCGACCUGUGUUGUCACCGUCUCCCCAUCCGUCGCCUCAUUAGAUCUUCCCCACCUCCACCCUUCCUCCUUCAUUUUGCUGCGGUGCUUUCCACGGACAAGUCGCGGGGCUCUUCCUGCGAGGCGCUCUCAGGCGGCAAGCAGCGCCGUGAGGACUCCCCUGCCUCCGCGGUGGAUCUGGAGCUCGAGGCUUCGCUCCGUUCCAAGUUGGAGGCGGAGCAGGCGGCGCGCGAGCAGGUGGCUCGUGGCCGCGAGGCUUGGGCUUCGGGUCCGGAGUGGUUGCAGCGCUCGCAGAGGGAUGGUGUGCCUGGAUCCGGCCCGCAGGGCUCUGGAUCUAGCCCUUCUCUCUGUCCGGUGCUGGAUCCAUGGGAGGCGGCGGCGGCCUCUGGCGGUGGAGUUUCCUCGUCUUCUGCCUCCCUUCCCGCUCCGGGUGUGGGGCGUGGCUCGUCUGCUCCGUCGCGUCCUCCGCCUCCUCCUCCUCCUCUCUCCAUUGGGGUUGUUGCUGGUUCUCACCCGCCGCCUCGGUCCUUCGCGGGGCCGGUCCGUCGGUCGCCCGGUCCGACCUCUGGGGCUCCCCUUUUUCGGGGAUGGGGGAUGGGAUCCUGCCUCCUCCUCCGUCGCUUUCGCAAUCUCGCCCAUCCUCUGCCUCCAAUAGCAACCCCUCGGUGCUCACCUGCUUCGCUUGCCACAGGCCUGGCCAUUUCCAGUCUCGCUGCACCAACCCUCCUUUUUGCCUGAUUUGUCGCUCUGAUGGUCACCUCAUGGUCAACUGCAUGGCUAGGCAGAAACCUCCCGCGGUCCUCCAGUUCGGCUCGGGCCUCCCUGGUUGCGCCUUUUUCGCCUUCAACGGUUAUCUGCCUGUCCGGGAGGUGGCUCCUGCUUUGUCUAAUGCUGCGAUUGUCUCGGUCAAGGACCAAAAGAUUUCGCCCCAAACUCUUCUGGAAGGGCUCCGCAUUUGGGAUGAGGCUGGAUGGGACUAGCAAGUUGUGCAGAUGUCUGACUAUGAGUUCUCUGUGGUGUUUCCCUCCAAAGAAUGUUUGCGGAUGAUUGCCUCAUGCACUAGCUUCACCUUGCCCCUCAAUCAAUUGGUGGUUUCUGUCAAAGCGGCUUCUUGCAAUGGUACGGCAGUUGGUCCGUUAUCCCAAGUUUGGGUUCUGAUUGAUGAUUUGCCUGUCGGUCUCCGCUCACCUGCUUUUCUCAUGUCCUUCGGGGUUUUGAUUGGGAAGCCCAUUGAGGUGGAUGAGGAAUCUCUGAACAAGGUCGGCCCUGCUAGGAUGAAGGUUUGGUGUGUGGAUCCUGAACGGGUGCAUGGCUCAAUUGAUAUUUUCCCCUCUCACAAUGGUAUUAGGCUUCGGGUGCGGGUGGAGGGGGCGGCCGCUUUUCAUGCCCCACCUUCCCCUCCUCCUCCUUCUAACCCUAAGGACAAGCAUGAUAAGGAGGGGGACGGAUCUUUGGGUGGCCCUAAUCAGAGUUUUGGGUCUAACCUCCGCUUCGCCCAAUCUGAAUGGGACGGUCUGGCAGAUUUUGAACGUGAGCUGUUUCAAUCCCAAGCUCCUUCUGGUGGUGCUCCUCAUGAUGACUCGGUGAUCCCGCCUGCGGCUCCGUUUGUUCCUGCUGCUGAUGCUGAUUUGUCGAAGUUUCCGCCCUGCUCUGCUACCCCCGUUUCUGGUGCCUGCUCCAAUCUCCCUGUUCGUCCGCUCUCCCCCACUCGUUCGGGAAUUGAAGAUCUCCCUGUCUCCCCGGUUCGUGAUGUGGUGGAAUCCCAGUCCCUCCGGAAGAAGAAAUCCUCAGUGCGCAAAUUCUCGGCUAAGAGCCGGAACUCGUCGGGCUUGAAGCAAUCCAUGGCGGGGUUCUGUCGGCGUCUGGAUCAAGAUUUGGGAUCUAUGUCCCGCUCGGGUCCCCAUGGUGGCUCUCCUGCUGCGCGGUCGCCUGCUAUUCGAUCUCCGGUGUCCAUGGCUCGCAAAGGAAGGCGGGUGGCGAGUUCUGGUGGUUCUAUCCUGGAGCGGGCUGAGAAGCGGGCUGCGGCGAAGGAUCUCCCUCCCCCAGGUACUUCUCCCAUCCCCUCUGUUGUUGCUUCUCCGGUGCGGUUGGUUCUACCUUCUCUUUCCAAUGAUCACCUUUUAAAUAUCAUGUCGGAUGUGGGUGUGGUGGUUGAUUCUUCUGUUGGUUCUCCUAGUUCGCUACUUGCUAUUAUUCGGGCUAACGAGAUGGCUCAGGCAGCCAUUGCCUCUCUGAUAGGGGAUGCUAGUUGUGGUCCGGGUGUGGACACAGGUGCUGGUAGUGGCCAGCCCCAAUCCAACUUAUCUAAGAGGGGCACCAAUAAGCAAGCUAAAUCCUGCAUGGCCCCUUGCAGGUCGAGUCUCCGAAUCAAGAAUCUUUCUUAUAAAUGAGGGUGUUAUUCUGGAAUAUUAGGGGGUUCGGUGCUAGGGGGCGCCGUGACCAACUUAAAGAGUUGGUUCAUUCUAAUUCUAUUGACUUUGUGGGGCUGGUUGAAACCUUCAAGGAUUCCUUCUCCCCUAAUGAUUUCUCUGCUAUUGUGGGCAUGGACAUAUUUAAUUGGCAAUUUUUACCUGCUUCGGGUCACUCUGGUGGGAUAUUGAUUGGCUCCAAUAAAGAUAUUUUUGAUUUUGUUGCUUUUGAUCAUGGGAUCUUUUGGGCCAGUGUUGUUCUAUCUCAUAAAGCUAUGAAUAUUCUCUGUGAGUUUAUCGUUGUUUAUGGGUCUGCAGACCAUUCUUUGUCGGCUUUAUUCCUUAAUGAACUUUCGUUGAAGAUCGAUUCUUGUAACUUACCGAUGGUUAUCGGGGGAGACUUUAAUCUUAUGCGGUGCCCUAAUGACAAUAGUAAUGAUAACUUCUCCUGGCCUCUGGCUAAUGCCUUUAACGACUUCAUUAGUGCUAAUGCUAUUCGUGAGCUUCCCCGGGGGGAGCCCGCUAUACAUGGUCCAAUCAUCAGGCUAAUCCUAUUAGAUCUGUGCUUGAUAGAGUCUUCCUGUGUCCCAGUUGGGAUUCCUUGUUCCCUAGGGCUUCUCUUAACGCCAAAUGCAUUAUCGGUUCUGAUCGUACCCCUUAAUUCUUGACGACGGUUCCAUUAGCCUUAGGCCUCCAGCUAGAUUUCAAUUCGAUGCCUCUUGGCUGUCUGUGGAGGGCUUUGGUGACAUGGUUGCAGCGAAGAUUUCCCUUUCUCUCUCCUCCAAUGCUCGCUCUUUUGGGCCUAUGGAUGAUUGGCACUCGUGCUCCUAUACCCUGCGUAAAUUCCUCAGAGGUUGGUCUCGUAAUCGUGCGGUGGAGGAUCGUCGUACCAAAUCUUUCCUCGAGGACCAGAUUUUGUCGCUGGAUCGCGCGGCCGACUCUACUGGGCUUUCUGACGAUGGUUGGGCGGUUCGCUAUAAUCUUGAGGCCGCUUUAAUGCAGUUGCACCACCAGGCUGAGAUUUAUUGCCGUCAGCGGGGUACUCUAAACUGGACUCUAAAAGGUGACUCCCCUACGGCGUAUUUCUUUGCGAUCGCGAACGGUAGGCAUAGGCGUUGUAGUAUCAAUAGCCUGCUGAUUAAUGGUGCGCGAUCUUCGGAGCAGUCUGCUAUUAUGGCUCAUGUGGUGGAUUUUUUUUCUUCGUUGUUGGGGGCUAAACCUCAAUUGGGCUUCUCUAUCUCUCCUUCCCUUUGGGACUUAGGUCUUAAAAUCUCACCCGAGGAGAAUGCCUCCUUGAUGAUCCCUCUUUCUGAUCAGGAAAUUUGGGAGGUUGUUAACACUGCCAAUCCCAAUGCUGCUUCUGGGCCAGACGGCUUCUCCAUCCCUUUUUUCCGGAAUUUUUGGCCCCAGUUGAAACAGCUGGUUUGUAAUGUUAUCCAGGGUUUUUGUCUUGGUACUGUCGAUAUCUCCCGCCUGAACUACGCAGUGAUAUACCUGAUCCCCAAGGUUAAGGGUGCUGAUGUUAUUUCCCAAUUUCGGCCUAUUGCUUUGAUUAACAACUUUGCCAAAUUCAUGGCUAAAGGCUUUGCAAAUCGUUUUUCGCCGGUUGCUCAUAGAGUUAUUAGUCCUUAUCAAUCUGCUUUCAUCAAAGGGCGUUUCAUCCUCGAUGGUAUCCUAUCCCUUCAUGAGAUUGUGCACGAUCUUCACGCUCGGAGAGCUAAAGCGAUUAUCCUUAUGUUAGAUUUUGAGAAAGCUUAUGACUCGGUUAGCUGGCCCUUUCUCAAGCAGGUCCUUCUUGCUAAAGGUUUUGACGGUGCUUAUGUUCAUCGUAUCAUGCAGCUGGUCUCGGGUGGCCAUACUGCCGUUUCGGUUAAUGGUUUCGUUAGCAAUUUCUUCGUUAAUGGUAGGGGCCUGCGCCAAGGGGAUCCUACUUCCCCUGUUCUUUUUAAUUUUGUGGCUGAUGCCUUCUCGUGCAUGCUCUCCAGGGCGGCCCGUUGUGGGCACAUUGCUCCUGUGGUCUCCCAUUUACUUCCGGAGGGUGUUUCCCACUUGCAAUAUGCGGAUGAUACUAUUAUCUUGGUGGAGUUGGAUGACGCCUGCAUUGCUAACCUGAAAUUCAUCCUGCUGUGUUUCGAAGCGGUUUCGGGUCUUAAGAUUAAUUUCGCUAAAAGUGAGGUCCUGGUGACGGGUGUGGAUGGGGCGGAAGCGUUGCGGAUUGCCAGGCUCCUUAACUGUUCUUUGGGUUCCUUUCCCUUCAAGUAUUUAGGCCUUCCUAUUUCUCCUAGCGUGCUCCAUGCUAAAGAUUUCGCUCCGGCGGUCGCUAAAGUGGGGAACAGGGUGCUCCCUUGGAGGGGCAGAUACAAUACCAAUGCUGGCAAAGUUGCUCUAAUUAACUCCUGCUUAUCCUCUCUCCCCAUGUUUCUUAUGGGCUGUUAUCUUCUUACGGAUGGCGUGCAUGCUGGCUUUGACAAACAUAGGGGAGCUUUCUACUGGAAUUCCGCGGAUAACAAACGGAAAUAUAGGAUGGUCAAGUGGCAACAUAUGUGUAAGCCUAAAAAACUUGGGGGGUUAGGCAUUAUUAAUACUCGGGUAAUGAACAUUUGUCUGCUUAUCAAGUGGUGGUGGAAAAUUUUGACUAGUGGGGCCGAUUCGCUGUGGUUUUCGAUUCUUAAGGCUAAAUACUUCCCUCACUCCAACCUUCUGUUUGCCACCGCCAGGCGCGGGUCUCAAUUUUGGAAAUCCCUUGUCAAAGUCAGACCGAUCUUUCUGGAACAUGUCAAAUUUAAUGUUGGUAAUGGGUUGGCUGUUCGCUUUUGGUUGGACUGGUGGUCUGGGGAUGCCCCCCUUGCUGCGAGCUUUCCGGUUCUGUUUUCCUUUUGUCCUAAUUCGAAUAUCUCCAUCGCGGAGGUGGCAGCUAAUAAUUGGGAUUUGGCUUUUCGUCGGGCCCUGUCUCCUGAAGAGUUGGAAGAUUGGCAAAGUCUCUCUGCCCUCUUCCCCGUGCUCUCGGAGUCGGCCGAUUCUGUGGUGUGGCCUCAUUCGGCCUCAGGUAGAUUUUCGGUCAAGUCGCUGUAUUCUAGACUUAUUGGUGGUACUCCUUCGUCCAGAUUCUCUUGCGUUUGGAAGUCCAAAGUCCCUCCUAAGAUUAAAAUUUUCCUUUGGCAAGCCUUUCGUGGUCGCCUUCCGGCUGCUGACCAGAUCAAAAAGCGCAAUGGGCCUGGUUCGGAGUUUUGUCAUCUUUGUGGGGCCUUGGAGAACUCUGAUCACAUCUUUUUCAAUUGCGUGCUGGCCAAGUUGGUUUGGUGUUGUGUUAGAUCUUGGCUUCAGGUCUCUUGGAACCCCUCCUCUUUUACCCAUAUUCGAACCCUAGCCAAAGCUUUGGUUGGGGUCACCAAGAGGGUGUUUUGGGUAGGCCUGGGAGCCUUAUGUUGGGCUCUUUGGACCAUUAGGAACAAAUUUACUAUUGAGCAUAUCUUCCCAUCUAAGCCUGCUGACGUUCUUUUCAAAUCAUGUAUAUUAUUGCAGCAGUGGAGAUCAUUGACUAAGGAGGUUGAUCGGGAUGCCCUGGACCUGCUCAUCGUCAAAAUUCGGGCUUCGGCAUCUCUCAUCUCCGGGCGGGAUCCCGUCGUCUAAUCCUGGUGGUGCUGUUUGCGGAGUUUAGGUCUCUCUCCUUUCCGGCCUGCGCGCCGUGUAUGGCAGUUGCCUGUAUCCUUUCCCUCUUUGGUUACUCUCAAACUAUUCGCUUUGUGCACUCUGUGCGUUGUCUUGUUAGCUGGUUUCGCUCCUGUUUGGUUUCCUGUGACGCUGCCUUGUGGCUUUAUUUAUAAAGUCGGGCUCUGGCCUUUUCUCUAAAAAAGAUGAUGUGCUAGAGACAUGCUUCUGUACUGCCUUGCUGUAAACAAGAUGGUGUUUAUUGUAUUGUCUUUUGAUGCACAUUUGGUGUAUCCAUGGAAGCUAUGGUCUUCUGAUCUGCUGGUGUCAUGUACACAGAAGGUGAACUGUCUUCACUUAAAUUCAAGUACUAAAAACUUUUGUGACUUGCCAUGGCAACAUAAGCCAACUUAGCCUGACAAUAAACAACGAACCAACAUCAACAUGAAUAUGAGGUAAACUCAUAUUCUUAGUUGUGCUAUGAUCGAACUAACUGGUGCCUAGGCAACAAAACAAAUUAGAAUCCAGCAGCUAAUCCACCCUAGUUGUGAGUAAUUCGUUAACCGAAAGCAGUUUCCUGGAGGGGAGUAGUGUCUCAUGCUCCCAGCAAUCUACAGCUUCUAGAAAACAAAUCAUGGCACAGUCAAGAGAGUCCUGAAACGAAGAUGUGUUAACCUACACCUGGUUGCCACAGCUGUUAACAUUGGCACAGCACCAAAAAGCCACAGCAGGCAUGAUCAUCAGCUCCUCACGACAUGUAGGGCGAGCUAUGAGCUCCCGGGAAUAAAUGGCAAAGAUUUACAUGCAAUGGGCAAUGCUGGUUCCAUGGACAUCCCUUCCCUGCCGGGCUGCAUUCCCGAAACAAGUUUUAUGUUGAGAUCAAGAAAAGCAAAAUUUACACCACUAACAGCAGCAGCAGCAGCAGCAACAGCAGCUUCAGUGCUGUCGCUCAACGACAUCCCUGGGCGGUGUUUGCACAAGAUCACUAUCAGCAGGAAGAUCGUCGCAACCCGCUCUCUCGAUGCUAUCGCCUCUCACCCAGUUUCCUUUUCUUCUUGCUUUGCACGGUCUCUCCAUGGCGCCUGCAUCACACACAAACACGCCGUAACUGCAUAGCGACGAACCUCAAGAAAAGCAGCAAGGUUUCGGAAAAAGUAUAUACAGCAAGUUCCAUCAUAAGAUUGAACUUUGGACUCACCCAUCCUGCAUCUGCUUCCGUUUUCUCUUGACGCUAUUCGGCUUUGCCUCAUCUUUGCCGCCCCGCCUGAACACCUCAGAAUCACUAGUGCUGCCGCCGCCACCAUCCGUGGCACAUUCCCUCGACAGCGCGAGUCUAUCAAGAACGGAUACGGAUGCAUCGACUGAGGUUUCUUCUGACCGUGAUUUGAAAUCCUCCAGCAAAACAACACCUGGAGAAGCACAAGCGUACGCAUGUUGCUCAGCAAAGAGAUUGCUGCAGCCAUGUCACAUGUGAUGGAAGACGCCGAUCAAAAUUCACAAGGCUGGUAUUCAAAUUUGUCCCUUGGUCGCUCGAAUUUCGGAGCAUCGAGGAUAACAGCAGGAACAGAUGAGCGUCGCUGUAUACGAUGGGUGUCUGGCAAAGUGGUUCAGGUAGUACGUACUGAGGGCACGCAGCGUGCGCAGAUCGAACCCGGCGGCGAGGUGGGGGCGACCGGCCGUCUCCGCCAGCUUCACGGCCAGCAGCUUCAGGCUGACGAGGAGAUCCUGCACAACACCGCCGUGGCGCCGUCAACACCUGUCGUCAGGAAGAGAAGCUAUAGUAGAAAAUAAGAGGAGGGCAGGGGGCGUCACGGACGAGCUCUGGCUCGGAGAGGGCCGCGAGCCACCGGGGCUCCGGAGGUGGGGUUUCGCCGGCGGCGGAAGGCGCCAUGAGGGAGUGGGGAGAGAAGAUGGGGGCGAUGUGUUUUUUUUUUCUUUUCUUUUUUUGCUUUUUUUGGGGGUAUUAUUAUUUUUUGCUUUUUUAGGGUAAAGCCAAUUUUAUAUUGAUCAAAGACCAUACUACCUCCGUCUCGGUGAAUAAGUCAUCCGCGUAGUUCUAGGUUGACGAUUUAACUAUCUAAAUAUGUAUUGUAUGUGACAAAAAAUAUAUAUAUUUAGAAACUACAUCCUUGUAGAAAUCUAGUGAUAUACUUUUCAUGACAUAUAAUACAUAUUUAAUUGCUCAAAUCGAUGACCUAGAACUACGUAAAUGACUUAUUCACCUAGACGGAGGUAGUAGUUAGUUGGAUUCAAUCCAGGUCGUGUGGUUGGUCAAACCACAUGACGGCGCUGAGAUAAAGAAAGAGAAAAGCUCGCUAAAUUAUGUGCGUCGAGAUUAACAACACGACCUACCAAAGUAAAGUUACAAUUAAAAGAAGCUGCUCUGCUUUUGAUCUCCUUGAUGAUGGCACCAACUCUACCUUGGCUCUUCUCAAAAAAAAAAAACUCUACCUUGGCUACAUUGCCUAAUAUCGUCCACUUGCUUGGAAUCAGAUGUUAUGAUAAAUUUGUGUAGAUGGAGGUCUCCCGCUAAUGAUGGAACUUCACGGCAAGUCAUGGCCUCCAGCGUUGUUUGGUCACGAAAACACCUCCAAUGACUAGGCUUCUUCUCAUGAAUAAUUUGGACAUCAAUGCACCUUGUGACAAAAGAACGCGAUGCAGACGGGCUUUGAAAGAUCCUUUCGUGAAUGGCCUUUCGAUGUGCCGACCAAAUGGCCCAGAGAGUAACUUCCAUCUUUACGAGCUGCUCAUGUGAUAAUGAUUCGAGUGGAGAGAAGAGACAUUGCCGGCACCAGUGUGGGAUGAUGGUUCGUGAGAGACGGUGGUUGGUGGUCUUGCCGGCGCCAAUGUGGGAUGAUGUGCAACGAGGUGGUGUGGGAGCUUGGGUGAAGACCCUGUAUCGGCCAUUGUGCCAUGACCAACAAUGGUUGCGGUUGUGGCCAUCGUUGACCUUUCUGUAGGCAUCGGUGUUGUGGUGUCGCACACCUUCCGCGGGGACCCGACUAUCGUGGCCUCUUCAGGGGAAACCCUUGAUCUUGUGAUCGGACGAUGACAGCGCCUGGGUGUGUAAUUUUUGUUAGAAGGGAGAGAGAGGUUUGGUGGAAUAGUUGUUCAUUGUAUUGCUUGAGCCUCGUGGGCAUAUAUAUAGGAGUACAUGAUCUACUUGGAGUACAAGACAAGACAGAAUACUUCCUAGUUUAUCCUAUGUUUCCUAAUACAAUCACGUUACUCAACAAUUUUCCCUCUUGGGGGCUUCGUCUUGAGCUUGAUGACAUCACUUGGGUGUGUAAUUUUCCCUCUUGGGGGCUUCAUCUUGGAGCUCGACAUCGGCAAGCAGGACCGAUGGUUAGCGGUGGUGGUAGCGUCGAAGCUUCUGUGGCAACAACGAUGGUGGGAGCGAUGUCGGUGAAGCGCCUAUGUUUGCGGUAGUCGACUCUUCUUGGACGUGUUCGGAGGAUUGUCUUCGUAAUUUGUUUGUUGUUGUAGAGUCAAAGAUGCGGCGGCAGGACCCUGUUGUGUACGAUGACCGGCCUGGUUUUGUCCUUUAGAGUUCCCCAUCAAAGUCUGGUCGCAGGUGGCUUUGUUUUUGCCCAGAUUUCUCGACCUGGCUACAUGGACGAUACUUAAUGGCCGUGGGCAAUCUAAUUUUCGCUCAGUUUUCUAAUUAACUAAGUGUUAUGACCGGUUUGGUCUAUACCAGGAAAAGUCUCACCGGACAUUAGUAUUAAGGGCUUGACCCACAAGUUAUAAAUACUAGUUGUAAGACAUCGUUUGAGAGCAAGCAAUAAAGAUAUUAUCAUCUUCUGUUGCCCGGCUCCCUGAGGAGCCGGAACCCUAGCCGCCACCAGCCAACCGCCGCCGCACCUAAACCCUAGCUGCGACGGCGCCUCAUAGCCGGCGCGCCCGCUCCAGCCCUCGUCUCCCUCCUCCCUGCCCAUACAAUCUACGCCGAAGGCCCGGUAGGAACCCUAGUCCUACCACUAAGCAAUUCUUUUUCUUCUUGAUAAGCAAAGUUCAUCUCCACCCUAGGGACGCCCCAUUAGUGACAACAGAAGCAAGUUCCUUUAAAAGGAAAACAGAUGGCAAUGGAAAACCAGUGUUUUGAGAAUACUGCAACAAGUAGACUAACACAAUAACAGUGAAGAUGAUGCGCCAAAAACUAGUAUUACACACCCAAAAGGUUCGGGGCCGAAUCAGGUACAUAUCCACAAGGACCAAAAUUGGAGCAAGUUUGGGGGUACAUAUCCGUUCCGUUCACAUAAACAUGCGCGGCAUUAUUGCUCAAUCCUAAGAGCUUCAACCAGAGUUCAUUCCGGAGGUUAAACACACCCAUUUUCACAAAAACUCGCGAAGAUACCGUCUAGUAGGGCUCCACCGGUGCGCGGAACUUGAGGCCAGCAUACACUGCAGCGUCGCCCAGCUCCUCCUCGAUCCUCAGAAGCUGUUCCAAUUUGGAAAAAAUAGGUCUUAGUUUGUUUUCACAAAAAAUGAGUACCGAUAAAGAUCAGACACAAAUGAGAAAUAAGAACACAGCACAUAACAAAAAAAGAGUAAAGCAUGGGAUCAAAUAAAUUCUUUUGUUUGAUUGUAAGGUCCUGUUGGCCAACAUAAUAUCGGGAGAUUGCUUCAGCAAAACAAGAAUAAACAGGGAGAACUACUUGCCUGGUUGUACUUGGCAAGACGCUCUGACCGGCAGGGAGCCCCGGUCUUGAUCUGACCCUGUUGCACAUGAAGAAACAUUGGUCAGUUAUAUGAGGAUUGCAACUAGUCUAGUUAAAAUUGCCCUAAGAAAUGCUAAAUAUGCAGCUUAUAAAACCAUACCGUGGACAGACCAACAGCCAAAUCAGCAAUGAAUGUGUCCU